UUUUAGAAAAGGUAUAAUAGUGAGCGCGAAUUGUAUUUUAUUUUUUUCUUUCAAAAAAAAAAAAUGACAUCACAUUAUUUUAUUUAUCGUGUUUCAUUUUAAAAGGUGACACCCUUUAUAAAAAUUCUACGUACGCCACUGGACUCAGAAGACAUUGAAAGGAGAUAGAUCUCAAGUCAUUCGUGUGGAUGAUCACCCUCUAAACCAACUGAGUCAAUCCCAAAAGGACCUUGAUUUCAAAGGUAUCAUACAAGUUUCUUUUGUCAUGACAUGAUUGAAGUAUCAAAAUAAUGGCUUACACCAUGUUGCGAGAAAUUUUGAACAAAGUUAAUUUUUUUUUAUAACUUUGACAUGUUUAAUUUUUUUUAAAAUAGAGUCAUCACUUAAUUUUAAAAAAUUAAGAAAAUUAUUUUAAAGUUAUUUUUUUAAAUAAAAUCAAAAUUGGAAAAGGGUUCGAAUUAUUUUCAAAAGAAGGUGUGAGAUACUUUUGAAAACCCACAAAGUGACACCCAACGGAUUUAAACAUAAACAUUUUUUUCGCUAAAUUAAGAGAAAAACUUUAUACAUAAAAACAAACCUUAUUUGAAGUGAAAAUAAAUUAUUUUUGAAUUCAUUAAAUACUUAAACCAAAAUUCAGUAUUCGAAACUAUUUCAUACAUGUAUUAUGUAAAAGAAAUUUGGUAAAACAAAUUGAAGCAACAAUUUCAUGUGUAUGAGUAUUUGUUGUAUCAUUGAUAAAAAGAAAAAAAAAAAAUCAAAUAUCUUCUCAUUUUUCCUAGCAUCAGAAAUCUUUUUCCAUAAAUAUAUAUAAUCUUAACUCAGAUAUAUAUACACUUUAACGAAUACAUAAACUUUUAAUUAGAUAUAUAUGUAUAUUUUAUCGAAUACAUGUACGUCAAAUCAGAUAUAUAUUUUGAUCACUAUCUCUCUUUCUCUCCCCCUUUGUCUCUCUCUUCUCUCCGGCAAGAGACCAGCGCCACCUCACUACUCGUUUCCUAACCAUCAAAAACACAAUUGAACCAGUGGGGAAUCCUCUGUUCCUCUCUGCUCUUCUCCUCACCACCAAUACCCCAACAAGCCAUCAAAAUCCCAACUAUACUCCGUCUCUAGUAGAUCUCAAGGAAAUGCCGGUGAAAAGCAAUACAAUCAUCCUUAUACUUUCUUUUGAAUAUUCCUACAUGUGUAAGGUAUUAGUAUAAUAUAAUUAAGACGUUUCAUAAAAAUUCAAAGACAUAAUAUCCUAUUGAAUGAGUAGACAUAAAUCAAAGUCAAAUAAAUAAUGAAUAUCAAUUACCACAAGCUAAAUAUCAAAAUCGAACUUUCAAAUACCAUACUAUACCAAAUUAGUUUGACAUGAUAAUCAUGUAAUAUUUUUAAGAAAAUAAAAUUAUCGAAUCAAAAUUCUUAAUAUCCGUACCAUAUCCACCCCCACCUACAAGUUAGUAAAGUGGGUGUAAACUUUUGUGACCAGAAGGGGAAAAAAAGGGCAUUAAUUUUAUCACGAUUCACGACCUAGAAUUUACGAACGAGAUAAUCGCAUUAAUGUACUAUAUAAGACUUAAUACGGGAAUAACAUGAGUUUUCACUUUCAAAAUAUAACAAUAUAAUUUUAUCAAAAUCUAACAAAGAGGUUUAAAAAAAUGGUAAAACUAUUUUCUUAAAACAUGGAAGUAACAUUCUCCCUUGAUAUUUAUUCCAUAAAUUUCUCCAAAAUUUUUGCAUUCCUCUAUUCUCUCCUUUGAAUAAAAAUACAAAGGCAUGCUAAAUUAUUAUUUCUCCUUCAAAUACGAUAACCAAUAUUUUGCUUGACAUUUAUCCCAUAAAUUUCUCCUAAAUUUUUGUCUUCUAAUAUUCUUUACUUAGAAUAAAACAAAAGGCAUGACAAAUGUUUUUCUCUUCAAAAACGAUAGUCAAUAUUUUUCAUGUCACUUAUUUCAUAAAUUUCUCUUAGAUUUUUGUCUUUCCUUGCUCUCGAAAUUUUUUAUUAUAUAUGAGACAUGUCAAAUCAUACUUGUAUAAGGCAUUAUUUGAUUGAUAAAUGGACUGAAACCUAUCUGUCAAGUGACAAAGGGCAUCUAUUAAGUCCUCUACGCCUUUUUUUUUUGUUUUACACUAUUUCAAUAUACUUUUUGUUUUCAUUUUUUUAAAUGUCUUUUUCAUUCUUAACUAAUCUAAUUAGUUUGUGUUUUUUUUUUUUUUUUUACACUUAUAUUUCAAUAUAUUUUUUGUUUCCAUUUUUGUAAUUUUUUUUUUCAUUCUUAACUAAUCUAAUUAGUUUAUGUUUUUUUUCUUUUUUUUAUGUAGGGGAUUUUGAUUUAAUUUUUUAUGAUCAUUGUAUAAGUUUUUAUUCUAUUAUAUUAAUUUUUUUUCUAUUCUAUGUUAUUUAUUCAUAUUAUAAUAAAUAGUUGUCUGUAUUUAAUUUUCCGUUUAUAAAAUCAAGAUACAAGUAAUUUUUUUUAAUUCUAACAAUUAUUUUUUGUUUAAAGUAUAAAUGAAAUUUGUAAAGUCGCAAAAAGUCUUUUAAGGAAUAAAUUAAUAAAAUUAUCAUUUUUAUUUAUAACUUCCUAAGAAACGUGUAAGGAAAGUAGAUAAAUAAAAUAUUUAUUAAAUUUCACCUAGCUUGAAUUUAAGGAAUAAAAGAUAUAGUAAAUAUUGACGGAAAGAUUAUGUAUUUAUGUGGGUGUUUAUGGAUAUUUUUCAUUUUUGAAUUUCGUGAAAAUAGUAUCAAAACUUACGCAAUUGUUUGUCAAAUCAUUGAUGCUCUUUCCGUUAUAUUUUCUUAUUGAAGAAUAUUUGAUGGAUUUGAAGUGCUUAUGAAAACAUGAAAUUUUCUAGAGAAGAAAAAAAAUAACAAAUUAAUUUUAUACCUUCUUUGUUUUUCAUAUUAAUAAUCUACUCUUUUUUUUACGAAUUUCUUAAGAAAUCAUAAAUAAAAUAAAAGUUUUACUAAUUUAUACCUUAUUGUUUUUUAACUUUAUAAAUCUUAUCUACACUUUCAAAAAGAAUUACUAUAAUAACAUAGAAAAUUUGUAAUUAAUUAUAUCUUAAUUUGUAAAUUAACAAAUAAUUUUAUAUAACUAUUUUUAAAAAUAUAAAUAAUUAGUAUCGAGAUGGAAAAAUAAUGUCAAAAUGUUAGAAAUAGAAUGAAUCAGGCAAGCAUUUUUUGAUUUCAUACUUUUCAUGAAUAAAAUUAUUGAAGUAUGGAAGUGCAGAAUUUGGAACAAUGGUUGGAAAAGAAAUCAAACAAAAAAAAAGUAAGAGGGGGAAAAUGUCAUAAAGAAAGAGAGAGAAAGGGGAAUUUUGGCCAUUUUUUGAAAUGGGACCCAAUUAUCCACUUGUCAAAAAAUAAAUAGAGCCUCAUACAAGUUUUGUUUACCACAUCAUAUAUGUGCCUCAUUCAUUACUUAAUUAAAUUCACUUCAUUAAGAAAAUCAGUUUGUAUUUAUGGGGAAAUAUCCCCUCUAAUGAAAGUAUAUCCAGUAUUGUUCAGUAACUUUGUUGAAUUUUUUGCCAUAUGUCCAUCCAAAUCUUCUAUGAUUGAGAUUCAAUCUUGUUCUAUAUAAUUGAAACUGAUAAAAUUAUUAUGGACAUAAAUAAUAAAAAAUUACUUUAGGCUAACGACAAUUGUAUCGUCCCAAUUCAUUAUGUUGUUAUUAACAUACUGACGAUAAAAUGUGAGUUUGAAAAUUGAGUUAUCUAGCCAAGAUAAGUUGGGCUUCAUCCCGUCAUGGCUAACGAAAAUUUUCUUUUAUGCAGGAAAAAAUUGGGGGAUGUCGCCUAGGAUCACUAUAGCUAUAGCGGGAACUGUUGUAGAUGGUCUUAAGUCGUUAGAGUAGACAAUGGCCCCAAGGAAAUUAACCUUUUUUUCUUUUUAGUCCAAAUUUUAAAAAGGUUGACUCCUCCUAAAAAUGCCUUAGGGCUAUUCUUAAGGAAAAAUCCUUAAUAACAUAGAGGCAAGUCUCUCAAGAAACGCGUAUCAAGACCUCGUCUUUACAAAACUCUUCUCUAGUCUCGCUAGAACUUAAUCAAGAGACGAGAAUUCAUGUGCUCCACAUCAACAAUUUGGCAUUCAAGUGAUCAAUAAUUUAUGAUUAGUAAACUAUGAUUAGAAGACACACACACAUAUAUAUAUAUAUAUAUAUAUAUAUAUAUAUAUAUAUAUAACCUAGAUUUGAUGGGAGAAUCAUAAUUAGGCAUGUGGGCACCAUGUUUGAACGUGCACAAGUAGACACUUAGACUUAUAUAAAAUUAAGCAAAUAUACACAUUCGUCUUACAUGACAAUUUUGUGUCCUACAUGAUGUCCUACGUGUAUUGUGCCAUGUAGGCCACUUGUGUCUACUUGUUCAAUUUUAUAUAAGUUUAAGUGUCUACUUGUGCACAUUCAAAGUUGGAGGUCAUAGUUCUUCGCUGAAACCAAGUAAAGGGUCAUGUAUAUGUAGUAUGUCAAACAUUUAUGAAUCCUUUGAUAAGUGUUUUAUAAGGUGAAUAUGUAAAUGUAUGUAACACUAGAGGAACAACAUGAACUUGUAACCUCAGAAUUAGGUAUAAUUACCAUUAACAAGGGUGCACUUGUCAUAGUGAGGGUGUAACCUUAUUACUUAAUCAUUACUAGGCUAUUGAUCAUGAUAAGAGCAGAAGAAUUCGUGUGGUUAAUAGGAGUUAGACUUGAUUUAGAUUCAUGUAUACUCUAAAGUUGAAUGUUUGUUGAUUGGUCUUCAGACAUGAUUAAGAGCCUGUUUAGAUUAACUUUGACUUAUUUUUAUCAUAUUAGCUUAAAAUCAAAUUCUUAUAAAUACUUUUUAAAUUUACCUAAACACUCUAAAAAUAGUUAAAAACUAUUUUUUACUUAAAAACACUUAAAUAAGUCAAUUCAUGCAGGCUGAACUUGAUGAUGUGAUUUUGAUGCUUAAAAUUGCAUGGGUUAUCACUUGAUGAAAUCAUUGAAUUCCUUGUGUUAUAAGUAUAUUUAUAACUAUCGUAUAGUGAGUUUUAUGUGUGAGAGUCGUAAUGAUAACAUGGGCAUUAUAGUGUGACAAGUGGCUUGAAGUUGAGGUGAUCUUAUGGACGAGUGUUAUAUAUAUAUAUAUAUACACACACACACACCUCACCGCUACAUAUAUAUUUUUCAUAAUUUGGUGGGUCGGAUACCACACUGGUAUGGUACAUGAACGAAGUUGUUCCGCUGCAAUUCAUGAUUAUUUGACAUAAAUAAGACCCUUAGUGUGUGUACACUUUAUAAUUGUUGUGUGAGUUGUUAUUGAAUUUUAUGAGUUGUUUGAUAUGUUGAGAUACUUGAUGACUAUUUUACCUGUUAUAUGACAUGAUUUAAUCUGUUAUGGCUAUACUUGUUUUUUGAAGAAUUAUUGCUAUGUGUUGCAUGCAUGAUUAUAUAGUUGGUGUGGCUAAUCACUAAAUAUACUUAUCGUAAAAUAAAGGCUUAAGGGUUAUAAUGUUAAGUUUGAUGACUGAGGGUGAGUGGGGUGAUAUAUGAUGUUCAUGUUAAGUUUGAUGGCAGAGGCUUGAGGGUUAUAAUGUUAAGUUUAAUGACUGGGGCUUGAGGGUCAAUCAUUAUGGUGUAUUGAUAGUACUCUUGCUACAUCCUUUGUGGGGUUUAGAUAUGUUGCAGAUUGACUAGAAGUCUCUUAUGUGAAGCGGUGAAUAAUCAUUCUCAUAUUUUGUGUAUUUCUUUCUGGCGAAAGUUAAGUCUUUUCUUGUCGUAUUCUAUUUAGAGGCUCUUAUACAUACCUAGAAUAUAUCUUAAAAGUUUGUUGUUAGGAUGUAAUGACCCGAUCCGUCAGUAUUCAAGUGCACCUCGCGCCAAGUCCCAUUUUUUUGAAUUUUGAUGCCCAAUUAAAAAUUGGAGCAUAUAACAAAAUUAUUUAAAAUUAGAUUGAUCUGGACUGACGUCUACCCACCUUAGAAGGAAAUCUUCCGCUAUGGCGGCGCCACUAUAGCACCUGCAUGACCGCUAUAGUGGGGCUGACGAGAUCAACCCCUAAUUAAUUCAAUGUUUUUUAUUUUCCUCACUUUACAAGGAGAAAAUAAGCGAGGGUUACUCUAAAAAUUUCCCCAAUCCACCUUAAGCACGAGGGCAUGAACGGGAGAGAUGUUCGCACAAGUAAGGGCAAGACCCAAUAAUUUUUAGUCCACACUCGUCAGGGUUCACCCCAAAGAGUUGCAAUCAGAGUUCUUCAAAUGUUGUUUGGCGCUCAGGUAGACUAGAACUUCUUAACUAAGUAGUUAGACCUAUAUCUACCCAUGUGAUAUUGUGUAGACUAUCGAGAGAUAUACAUGCAUAAUUCUUCGGGCACAGAGUCUAGAUGGUAGAACUUUUGGCAUAAUUCUUUAGGCACGGAGUCUGGAUGGUAGAACUUCUGAUUAAAUGUGGUUAGGUUGAUGAUGUAUGUCACAAUCCAAGGGUACUCCCUAGAUGUAACAAGGGAUAUAGAACCCCGGAGGACUCCAUAUAAGUCACUUAGCAUAUCAUAACAUAAAGUACUAGAAUAAUAAAGAGUAAAACAACAUUUAAGUCCAAAACAUCUUUAUAGAAAAACGGAAGUCUAACUCAUGUCUCAACAUAGUCAUCUAUUACAAUAGAAUGAAAGUGGGCCUAGCCCACACAUCAUGUUCAAAAAGGAAAUACAAAAGUGAAACUACAAUAAGGAAAGUCCGUCCUCGAACCAUAAGGACUCACCAAGCUCGGAAAGAAAUCAAAGUCCAAGCUCUAGCCACUAGAAUGGAAACCCUGCCUGUCGGACCCUACAUUUGGGAGAAUGUAGGAAAUAGUAUACGUUAGUAAAAAAAUGCACUAAGUAUGAUAGCUUUGCAUAAAAACAUGCAAAUCAUGCUAAAAAGGACAUUUUAUUUCAUGAUAUGCAAUUUACCAAGUUUAAACAUCAUAGUAGAAAUAAUUGAAAACAUAGGUCAUAACAUCAUGGUCAAUGCAAGCUAAAUCAUCUUUAAGUCUUUGAAACACAUAUGACAUACUUCCUUAAUUAACUUUAGUUCAUUAGUCAUCUUAUUGUGGGAGAAUUAGCCUUAACCGAUAUAGAGACCAUGUGAGCUAAAACAUGAUCACCCGGUGUCUCCCACACCGAAAAGGGUUGUUCUACUUGCCUAAGGUAGAACCAUAAACUUCUAGCUUAAGUGGAUCCACUAGCUAAUCAACUUAUGGGGGGACAUAGUUAUGGGAUAAGGAGAUUUCUACUAGAAACCCGGCCUCUACUCACGGGAGAGCUUCCAUCUCAUGAGACUUUUUCUAGAAACCCGGCCUCUACUAGCAGGAGAGCUUCCAUCUCAAUGUCAAUAACCACUCGGUGCUAAGUAUAAUUCCCACGGAAUAGUAGUUUCUUACUUAUUCUCAUUAUCCAUGGAAAGGCAUGUCAUUUUGCCAAUCUAACUAGUUCAUUAGGAUAGCUCUCAUUCAUUGAUUCAAUUAGGUGAGAAUAGCCUUUCAACCUAAGAAUCCUUUCUAUGUGAUAAAACCUUUCACAUCAUGGUUGUAAGUGUUUUAUGAGAUAUCCUUUCAACAACACAACAACAACAACAACAAUAUAGACACUUUACUCUCAAAGCACCCUUAAAGCAUUUACAUAGGUUUCAUAAGAUCAUGCAUAAACUCAUACAUUUCCCUUUCAAGGUUCAAAGCUACUUCCAAUCACCAAAUCUAGAAUUCUAGCAUUAGAUAGGGAUUUUAUCACAAAUUCAUGUAAUUCUAUUACUUCAUGCUUUCGAUCACAAAACUCAUCUUUCAUAGUCAACAACCCAACUCUAUGAGAUCACAAUUCGAAAAACAUGGAGGUUUGCAUGGGUUCAUAGGGGAAACAUCAUAAAAUCAUUGUAAAUCAUAUAUUCAUGCAUAUUUAAACAUAAUUCAAUCAUUAAGAUCAAUAAUCAAAAGAACCCAUGAUGUUUGAGGAAAAUCUUAGCUAAUUGGGGAAUCCUAUCAUAUGAAAUAUAGGAAUUGGGGACUCCAUGGGUGGAAGGAACCCAUGGAUGAAAGCUACCAUACCUCAGGUCCAUUUGCCUAUCUUCAAUAGAGAAUAUGGAUCCUUAGCUUCAAACCCUAGUUGAAUCUUCUUCUUCUUCAAGUUCUAGAGGGAGAAUAUUUGAGAGGAGUUGGUUUUCUUUUGAGAUUUAAGAAGAAUGAAUUAAAUGGGGUGAAUUUGGGGUAAAAAGACUUAUAUAGGGGUUCUAAAUAUAGGCAAAAUGACAUAGUAUAAAAAUUAAUUAAUUAAGAAAAGACUCAACUGAACUUGAAAUUAACUGCCAGGUGACCAUCCAAGGGCCCAGUCGACGGACCGUGGUCUGACCCACGGCCCAUCUUAGUGGACCGUUGGUCACCAUCAGAGAGGGUGAUCUCCGGGGUCUCGAACCAUGGACACCUGACCAUGGACCGUGGUCUGACCUACGGUCCAUAUGUCGUGUGGUGGCCUUGAGCCCUUAAAUCUUACCAGGCAUGCCAACCACGGACCACCCCUAUGGUCCAUGGUCCACUCCACGGGCCGUGGGUGGCCGGCGUGGUCUGGCACCUGUAACUUUCUGUAAAUCUGCUAUUUUGGUCUUUUUGAAUAUGGGGUGUUACAAUGUAACUGAUUAGUUGUGAUUGGCCUAUUGAUGUUGCUGAGUGUUAUUUUGGGGAAGAUAACAGUGCGUAAUCAGAUUUGAGCAGGAAAACUUUGGAAAGGAAUCUUUCGGGUAGGGGAUAGUUGUUUCUUUCACAUGUAUGCUUUAGGCGCUUGUUAACCGCAUCAUUAGUAAUGCAUACUUGAUAGGUGAUCGGGAUGUUGGAAAGGAAUAAUAUGAAGUGAAAGAUGUUGUCAAUUGCGUGCAAUGAGUGUAUUACAUGAAUGUACAUGUGUUUUUUGUAAUUUUGUGGUGGUGUCCUAUUAUGUAUAUAUAUUUACUAGAUCAGGUGCCACGCCGACACACACACAUACACAUAUAUAUAUAUAUAUACACACAUAUAUUAUUAUUAUUUGAUUGGGUUCCACGCGGGCACACACAUUUAUACUUAUUAGAUUGGUGUCUUGCCAGCACAAACUUAUUAUUAUUGGAUCGGAUGUCACACUGGCAUAUAUAUAAUUAUUGGAUCGGAUGCCAUGACGACAUAUAUAUAUAAAUAUAUGAUCGCAUGUCACACUGACACAUAUAUUACUAUUAAGUUGUGUGUCACGCCGACCUAUAUAUAUACAUAUAUUAUUGGAUCGGGUACUGCACUGAUACAUGUAUAGUUGUGGGUGGUUUGUUCCAUAAGGUACUGGUUUGUGUGUUUAAAAUUUAGAAUGUUCUCUUGUGUGGAUCGGGAUGACAUGUUAAAUGUUGUAGGUGAUGACUUCGAAUUCUUGAAGUUCGGGAAAUUUUAUAAUAAUGGAAUGAAAUUGGUUAUUUAUGUUUGGUAAGUUGGGAUACUCAUUCACAUACUGUAUAAUGGAAGUGUGUGAGGUAAGGAGUGACAAGAAGUAGCAGUAUGAUGUUUGGGGAAUUAUUGUGAAAUAAAAGGGUUACGCUAUAAUCUAGUGUGAAUGGAAUUGGCAGUGGAGGAAAUAUGAUGUGUUGAGUUUGACUUAAGGACUACAUGUAGUAAGGGUGGUGAAUUAGUACACCGGGGCCCUAAAUUUAUAUUCAAUAUACAUGGUUCUUUGGAUAUUUUUGCAUGAUAUUAUGUAGUGGGGUAAGGUCGAUUGAUGAUGCCUACCAAUACAUGUUGUUUGUACUGAUACUCCUCUUUCGAUGUCACUUGGCAUAGUCUAGUUGUAGGAUUCAAUAAUGUUUCAUAUGUGAAGAUGAUGAUCUUCUACUAUUCUUUCCUUAUGGUGGGAACUAUCUUAUUUCUUUUUAUGCAUUGUAUAUUCUUAGUAGAUCUUGUACCUAUUUAAACUAGCUCCUUGGGAAGGUUUUACAAUUGUUUGUAAAAAGAUAAUUCUUAUAAUAUAGUUUAUGUUUAUUCAAGAAUUAUCUUGAAAAAUAAUUCUUCCUGUUUUCUCUCAGCGCAUGUUAAGCAAGGCUAGCUAACGUUCACUCAUCGACAAUGGGAAGAACCCGGAAGAACAAAACUCAGGUAGCGAAAAACAACAUGAUCAAGGAAGCAGUGCAGGCCAGUCAAUCAAAACUGAAAACACCAAUUUCGGGAGGGGCUGGAGGAACGAAUGGAACAGUAACACCGGUAAACUCACAUCUAAUGAUAGAGAAGAUGAAGAUAAGGUUGGGGUCAGGACCGUCUGAGGAAUUUCCAAAAGUAGGGGCUCUGAGCUUAGAUCCAAAUUUGGAUGAGGCCAAGGGUACAGAAGCAACAAGGAAAAAUGAGCAUAGGGUACCAGGGAGGAAGACUUAGAAGGGGCUAUUUCAAGCUACAAACCUAGGAGCAAAGGGGAUGGAAUUGAGCUUUGUACCUCCAGUGCUCCAAGAAGGAAAACCGGUGGUGAAAUUAAGCAAGGAAGAUGUAGAAAUCAGGAGUGAAAUAUGGAGUAAUGCUGUCAUACUCUAUAUGAUAGGCAACACACAAAUCCAUUGGAGCUAUUAUGAGACUCAUUGCAACAGAGUGGUACUUCGUGGCGAAACCCAAAGUAUACCUGCAUAAUUAUGGUUUUUUUGUUGUGAAGUUGAAUAACAUUCAUGAUAAGAACUCCAUCUUAGUAACAGGUCUACACAUGUUCAAUAAUCGGCCUAUCAUAUUGAAAAAGUUGGACUGCUGAUUUUGAUUUUAAUAAGAAUGUAUUGAGAUAUAUUCAUUUUUGGGUGCAAUUCCCAAAUUUGCCGUUGCAUUACUGGGGAUUGGCUGCGUUGAGUAAAAUUGGUAGUGCUCUGGGGAAGCCUCUGUAUGCGAAUGAAUGUACGUCAGGAUUUGGGAAAAUAUCCUAUGCUAGGUUGCUCAUAGAAAUGGAUGUUACUAAGCCGCUACCAAGACUUGUAGAGAUUUUUUAUCCAAAUGAUAGUAAGAUGCAACAGAAGGUGCAAUACGACUGGGAGCCAAUCUAUUGUACUACGUGUUGUAUUGUUAGACAUAGUUGUACUGAGCUCCAUAAAAAAGAACAGAGGAACGAGGAAGGAUACAAGCAGCAGUGCAGGGAUAAAGUAGAGCAACAAUGGAAGCCACAAGAAAGGAAUCCUAUGGAAACUACAGGUGUCCAGACUCAAAAAACAACAAAUCAGAACACACACUACUAGAAAUUUGAUCUAUUGCCACAGUUCAUGUACCAUUGCAAUAGACUUUCCUACCGUAGCCAUUGGUCUAACGCCACGGUUAAAGCAACCGCUACAACAGAUCGCAUAGCAAUAGAUCUGUUGCUACGGUUAUGUGCGACGGUUCAAAAAACCGUAGCAGUAGAUAGACCUAUUGCCACAGUUUUAAUUUUAAUAAGUUGCCAACGCUUAGUGUCGUAUUGCUACGGUUAUGAACCAUUGGAAAAGAGUUUUGUACAUCAGUUCUUUUGAGGCUAUGGCUACAGUUUUUUUUUCUAUUCAAAAACCAUUUCAUUCUAUUGCGACGGUUGUUAUAGGGUAAUGCAACAAUUUUUAACGAAUAUAAAUGUUGUUCAAUGGCUAUUGCUACGGGUAUUACAGAGUAAUGCGAUAGCUAUUACAUGGUAAUGCAACGGUUAUUACAAGGGACUGCAACAAUUUCUUAAUAUAUAUAUAUAUAUUAUUGGUGCACUUCCAUAAAUAUUAUAUUAUUGAGAUAUUGUAGUAAUUUUAUAACAUAAAAUACACAUAAAUCGUUCACGAGAAGAAAUGUUCAUUACCAAAAUUAUAAUUCAAGAUCCAUAAAACCAAAAUAUAUAUACAACUAUUUUUUUACCAUUCAAAAAAGGUGAAACACAAACAUGCACCACACAGUUUUCAAUCUUCAAAAAUAAAAGAUUUCUAGAACAUCAGUAAAGUUAACAUUAACAAUAUUUCAGCUUCUAUGUCAAGUCUUCACUACUGCUUUCAUCGCCUUCUUCGAUUUCAUCACCUACAUACAAUUAGAAAAAAUAUAAAUAAUUUAGCAAUUUUUCGCAAAAGCUUAAUGGUUCCACAGUAGUCAUAUAUUACAAAGUUAUUACUCUAUAUCUAAGACAUACAUAUAAACUCAAUAAACUCAAAUAACAUUAAACUAUAUAUAUGGAGUAUGGACUAAUCUCAAACUUUUCCGCAACUUCAUUGUUGCCAUAGAUGCUUCAGCUUGGGGAGUUGGAAGUCUAUAAUCCCAAAAUGAAUGCAUGUAUCUCAUCCCAACUGGAGACGGUGUAAAGAAUACCAUACAUCCCCCUCCAACCAGAACAACUACCUUCAGCUAGUUCUAUCUGUUUUGUUACCAAACCAGAGAACAAAGGAACAAAAGAAAUACCAAACUGGUCGCCAUCAUGUAUGUGUAAUGUUCAUGACUUCUAGCUAAUAAUAGAAGAUAAUGGAAGCAAAGGAACCAUAUGGACAAUGACAACUAGUUCAAAUUAAGGUUUAGUUGUUGUUUUUACUGUUACAUUAAAUCUGGUGCCUGUCAGGAAUACUUUUAGUUCAGUAGAUACUCUCUACCCUACAAAGAUAAGGGUAAGGUCUGUCUCCUACACUUCCUAGACCCCACUAGUAGGGAUUACACUAGGUGUAUUGUUGUUGUUUGUAGAAAUAAUGAGAGACAAAGAUGGACUAGUGCAUACAACAUGGGUAUAGACUCAUAGCAGCCAACCUCUAUCGACACUCCAACAGUGUAUUCAGGACCUUCAAAGGCUCACAAAUCAACUGGAAAUCUUAAAGUGCAAUCACAUAUAUAGAGAGGCAAACUGUACAACUGACUUUCUAUCUAAAUGGUCCGACAUUCUACAACAAUUACACCUACCAGCAGCUGCCCAGGUUGGCCAAAGGAAGCCAUGUUUUAGAAAAAUUGGGUUUGACUAAUUUAGUGGUAUGAUACCCAAUAGGUUUAUCUACAAGCUAUAUACUUAAGAUAUAAAAAGAAUCUGCAUUUUCAUAUUUCAUGUAAUAAACAAUCACAAGAUGCCACUUCUGAUGAACAUAUCCUAGAAUAUAUAGUGAAGAAGUGCAAUUGAUUUAGAAUAGUAGAUGCAUCUCUCAUUUGCAUUAAACACAACAUAUUUCGGGAUUCAAAGAAUCUAUCAAAAAAUCUGCACUAUUAACAACCAUUUACAGUUAUUGUUCUUGCCUUAAGUAGUUGGUUCUUUCAUGUUACUCAUCCCACUAUGUCACCUAAAUUGGGAUUAAUGAUGUCUAUGUUUUUCCAAAUAUAAUUUACUUCCAGUCUUUAAGAGAGGAUAUGUAAGGUUGAAACAAGUUCCCCACUUAAAUUUUAUGGUAUGCAUAACUAGUCUUUGUAAACAGGUUGGACUUGGGAGCAACUUUGGCUCAUGAAAUGAUGCACACUUGGAUGAAGAUUCAAGGUGCUUUCCAGCUUUCUACUAUAAUCUAUAGUUGGUUUUGUCUAAUUUAAACUACAAAUAAUGGAAAAUAAACUAGUGAACAGCAUUCCUAAUAAAUCUGUCUUUUUCUCUACGAUAUAUAAGGUAUGAGGGGCUGUCCCUAAACAUCGCAGAAGGUAUUUGUGAAGUUAUAGCUCACAAGUGGAUAGAAUGGCAAUCUUUUACUGGUGAUGAAAACAUAAGAAGGUACAAGUGAACAAGCUCAGUUCUUUAGAAAUCUGAAAGAGUUUCUGAAAGAUGGAAUUGAAAAAAGCCAUUCAAGCAGACUAUUCUAUGUGUAAAAUUCUUUUUGGAUAGGUUUAAGUUGUGUUGUUUCAACACAAUUUCACCACAAAUAAGCUCCACAAUUUAGUACAUGGCACUUCAAAAUAAAAAUGCAGUUUUCAGCACAUUCACAUUUUCAGAGCACAUUCAAAAUUUCUGCAGAUUUUGGCUAGGACUCUAAAAACUUCACAAUAAUAAUCUGUACAAUUCAGCAUAAUCUGCACAAAAAUAAUCUGCACAAUGCCCACAUCUGCAUUGAGCAGGCAAAGAAAGUCACCAACUGAACCUCCAACGUAAAUUGUACUAAACUAUAGUAACUCAUAGAAGGUCUUUGGUUUAACCCUCCAUAUCACCAUCAAUAGGAAAAUGAAGAAGAAGAGCAAAAAAAAGAGUCGCAAUAGAGAAAUAAACAAAGUCGCAACAGAGAAAGGAAAUAGAGUUGCAAGAGAAACAUAAAGAAGAAGAAGAAACACUCAAAACAUAGAAUUAGCGACACCAACCUUGCUCAGCCCCUUGAACAGAAGUAGGUUCGCUUGGUGAAGGAAUGGACAAUGCUGCUAGUAUGUUAGGAUCAAUUAAUCCCGCAUGCUUGAGUUGUGCAAUUACAUCUGCAAUAACUUCUUGUCGCACAGUUUUCUUUUGUUCCUCCAUUUGUUUCACCAUUUUCUGCAUCCUUUCUUGCAUUUGCUGCAUUCCAUCAGUUGUUGCAUUUAAAGUUGAUUCCGAAUUGCCAACUUUUUUUUUCAAAGUAUUCUUUGUAACUCCUACUCCAUAUAGUCUUAGGCGUCCCGGAUGUUCAGGAUCCAUGAUGGUUGAAAAUGCAUCAACAUACUGGUCAUUUGUGCUCAUUUGUUUUUCAAUUUCCUCCAUUUCAGCCUACAAAAGCAUAUCCAACAAACACAAUCUUAUAAAUUAAAAUUUAAAAUAAAUAACUGAUCUCAAUUAAAAAAUUGAAAAUAGACAGUACUCAUACAAUUUUACUAGUAGUAUUUUCAUUCGAAGCCUUGUACAAACGCCCGGGUUUUCUUGUUCUUGUAACCACAAAGAGAUCCUUAGAUGAUACUGUCUCCUUUUCUUUCUCCUAGUCACAUUGCAAUAUGUAUUAGAAAUUGUUUAAAUGCCAUGUUAAUACUAGACAAUAAAUAAGAGAACACACCAGCUUAUUACAGACUAAAGCGAAACUCUUUUUGCCAGCAGUGUGUGGAUUCAUCAGCUUUUUUCGAUUCUUAGUUUUUGUUUCAGACAUUUUCUGCAAAGAAGUGAAUCAAUAAUGUUAAUCGAAGGCAUAUUAGUGCUAUGUAGUGUACUAGACGAGGUCAUUAUCUCAAUAUUUAUUUUUCAACAAGUCCAACUGAAUAAAAAGAGCGAGUAAACAGAUUUGGAAGGCUGCAACAAUUAUCAAACUCACAACAUGAGCGAAUCAAUAAUGUGUCUUGUAAACAAGUUGUUUUAAUUGUGACUUCCACACCAAUGAAGAAAGAAGAAACAACAUAUUACAAUAGAAAAGAGAAAGUAAAAGAAAAGAUAAAGCAGCAGCAGCAACGAUAACACAAAAGAGAUCACGAAAUGAGUAAGCUGAAAAUUUGAUAUUCUAAACUACAUUUUUACCUUGAAUUUUUUCCAGACUUCCAAUAAUUGAGGAGCUCUCUAAAUUGACAUUCUGGAAUAUGACCAGGCCUGUUUUCCAUUCGAACUUUAUCAUUAUCAUAUGGAUCGUAAUAAGUCAUCUUCAAAUCACUUCUAUGUCUUCUCCAAGCCUCUCGAAUUGUUACCAUAGUCCAAUUGUACGCAACUUCAGGAAUAAUGUAUUUCUCCUAUAAUUUUGUGUCAUUCGCUUAGCCAAUAGAAGUAAAAUACUUUUACAAAUAAUUUAAUAUUGUAAACUACAAACCUUGGUAUAAUCCCAUAGAUCUUGUUUAGUGUCCAUGCUCCUCCAAUCUAAUAUAUCAAAUAGGCAAAGAGUCGCAUUUCUAGCCAAUGUUCCUAGGAAGCUGCUUAAUUCUAUGACAACAUCAUCAGUAGGACCAACAUGCUGAUUUUCCCUAUUCAGUAGGAUCAAUUUACGCUCUUUUCGAGCAUGUACAUUAUGCAUUUGCGUUCUACCUCUUUUAUUUUGAGUGGAAACGUCUUCAGCUAUAAGAAAAUACAAGAAAUAUAAUUAGAAAUCAAGGAUACAUUUAAUAAGUUUCUAAGCUUAUAUGUUACCUUGUUCUUCAGGUUGAUUAUCUGUUUGAGGAGUGACAGAAUUCAUUUGCACUUGAUCCACGGAAGGCUGCUCCUCGACAGGCUGAUCCUCGACAGGCUGCUCCUCGACAGGCUGCACCUCUACAGAUUGUCUAUUUGCUUCAGAUUGUGGUGCUAUUGGUUGUUGCACUUCAAGUAAUUUAAGCAAAUGUCCUUUCUCGCACUCUAUAGCUUGAACAAUUUCAUUUGUUGUCAAUAACCGCCAUUUCUUAUUUGCCAAGAAUGAUAGCGAUCCUGGUUUAGCGAAUGUCUUAUUUUUUGCUUUUUUGUUUCUUUUUGAAGGUUCUUGUUGACUCAUGACUAUUCAAACCUAUGUAAAAAUAGGGACUACAGAAGUUACAGAAGUUGUACUAUUCACCAAGGUCUUACCAAUAACAUUUUUUAUCUGUAAAAUUUUAAACCAAAUAUUUAACUCUAUUUAAUAAUCAUAUCAGUUUUAUGAAACAAAGAGCUGAAAACAAAAUGUACCCUUAAGUAGCAGCAAUAGCAACAACAUAUUAUCAAGAGCUUAGAAGAAAAUAAAUAUAAAACUAGUUUGAAAUCUAACUUUUGAAAGCCUGCUACUUAAUGACCUCAAUGGGAUUUCAAAGAAAUGACAGAAGUUGUAAAGAGAAGUAUUAGCAAAGAAAUAUUCAAAGAAUCAUAAUAAAGAGAUAAGAACCUGGUGUUUUGGACCUUAAUAAAGAGAUAAGAGCCUGGUGCUUUGCUGGUACACUGUGAUGUUGAAGUUUGCUCAGAGAAACUGCAGAAAGAAGAAUAAUGAAAAUGAAUAAGAGAGAAAAAGACUUAGCAAAAGUACUAAUCCCAAAACAAGAAAUGAAGGACCACAAAGAAAGAUUUCAUAACAUAUCCAACAAUUUUUAGCACAUGUGUAUUAUUAAAGUUGCAGUAAUUUAGAGAUAACUUGAAAACAAAACAUAUUAAUAGAAAUAAAAAGAAGAGAUAGCAAGUCCAAUCAACAUUCAUAAUUUAUAUGAUGCAACUCAAAAGGAUAUUCAUUACUUACAACAACAAAAAAACAAGAAGAGAAUGUAUUUGAACAAGUUCACAAGAUCUUUUGUCAAUCAUCAACUUCCAUCCAAUCCCAAUCAGUAUCAUCAAAGUCAUCCUCCUCUUCCGAUGUUUCCAUUGCUAUAUCUUGUGAAUGUUGUGCAAUGGAAGGAACAUCGAUGAUAUCAACAGGGAGAUCUUCUUUCGACCAUCUAACAUCUACAUCAAAUAAUCUUUCUGAUGAACCAAUAUCAUCAUUAGGCUCUCUCCAAAAUGUUUCUUCAAUAUUAGGACAACUCUGUUCCUCCAAAUCAUACAAAUCCACUGGGACUUUGUUUCUUGCAUAAUAAACAUUUUUCUCAAUUGGGUCUUCCACAUAAAAAACUUGAUGCACUUGAGAUGCUAGUACAAAAGGAUCAUCUGUACUACAUUUUUUGUUGAAUAUACCCGAGUCAAUCCAUAUUCAUCGACUUCAUUAUGAAACCAAUCACAUUUAAAAAGUACAACACUUAAGCAACCCCAAUAAUCAGUCUCAAUGAUAUCCUGAAUAAUUCCAUAAUAGAUAACCAUUCCAUCGACAUAAUUUUGGUCCCUAGCACUAGCAAAACUAUCUGUUGUUGCUGACAAAGUCACUCCACUAUUUUGAGUUUUGCAAGGGGCAUCCCGUGUCUUCGUAUGAAAUUGAUAUCCAUUAAUGAAAUAUCCAGUAUAUCUUUUUGCCACAAAGUUAGGCCCUUUAGCUAGCCAUCUUAAAUGAUUGGACACUUCAAUAUUUUUAACUUUGUCCCUAAACCAAUCGCCAAAUUCUCUACUAUGGACCCGUGCUUUUACCCAUGCAUUUCCUCUAGCACGAUUAUCAAUUAAACUCUUAUGUUCCCUGUAAGCAUGUAAUGUAAUUUCAUCAAUGUGUAUUUAUAAAUGAAAUGAAAUUUGAAAUACAUUAUCAUAACAUCUAAAUUAUGUUUAAAAACAAACUACUAUUUUAUCUUACUUGAUGAAUGUCUCUACUUGUUCAUCUCCGGUAUUGAACAAAGUAUAUCGAUGUGCUUCAAACCACUCAUGCUGCUCCAUGGUAAUAGAUUUGCCUUUCCUUAUAUUCUCACUUCCGAUUGGAUGACCUGUCUUAGGAAAUAAAGGUGAAGCAUCUCUUUCCUCUGUUUGAUUGUCCUCAUCAUCCUCGGUUUGAUACCUACUAAAUGUUGUCUUCACCAUAUCAGGUAGGUAUCUCGAAAUAAAGGUCAAACACACUAUAGCUGAAAAACCCUCUACUAUUGCCCCUUCUGAAUUUUUUCGAUUACGAACAAGCCCCUUGAAGUCACACAUAGUUCUUUCGAUUACGAACAAGCCCCUUGAAAUUACACAUAGUUCUUUCAGUAGAAUACAUCCAACGCAAAUGAGUUGGGCCUCCAAGCUUAAUUUCAUCUACUAGAUGGAUAGGCAAAUGUGUCAUUAUAUCAAAAAAAGUGGAGGAAAAAUCUUUUCAAGCUCGCAUUCAAUAUCUAUGAUUUCUGUUUUAAUCUUAUCAAGAUCGCUUCUUCUUAUAACCUUGCUACAUAUGGCUCUAAAAAAAUUUCCCAACCUAAUCAAUACCAUAGAUACAUUCUUGGGUAAUACUUUUCUGACUGCAACCUGGAGCAAGUAAUGCAUUAUGAAAUGAGCAUUAUGACUUUUGUAUCCUGAUACUUUCAUCUCUUCAAUUUGAACACGACUUGAUAUAUUAGAGGCACACCCUUUUGGUAAUUUGGCAUCUUUUAAGACAGUGCAAAAUAACUUUUUCUCUGAUGGUUUCAUAGAGAAACAAGCUUUAGCUAGAUGGAUAUUUCCUGUAGCACAAUCUUUUACAGGUUGAAGCUCUUUACGUAUCCCCAUUUCAUACAAGUCAUAGCGAGAAUUUAUAUGAUCUUUGGACUUUCCAAGUAUAUCCAAUAAAGUCCCAACCAAACUGUCACAAAUAUUCUUCUCUAUGUGCAUCACGUCAAGAUUGUGCCUCAAUUUGUUGGUUGCCCAAUACGGCAACUCAAAAAAUAUGGAUUUUUUUUCCAUGGACCAUCAUUCUUUUGUUUUCUUUUCUUGUUGUUCUUUCCAAAAACAUUAUUGAAUUCACGAAGCUCUUCAAGAACUUGUACCCCUGAUAAUGGAGUAGGUGUAACUUUAUGCUCCUCUUUACCAUUAAAUGAUUUUUUAUCUCUUCUAAAUGGAUGAUCGGAAUGUAAAAAUGCCCGAUGACCCAAGUAACACAUCUUACAACUAUGUUUGAGAUAUUGGGAGCAAGUAUUAUGAUUACAAGUGGGGCAUGCCCAUCUCCCCUUGGUGCUCCAUCCAGAAAGCAUUGCUAGAACUGGAAAAUCACUAAUUGUCCACAAUAAAGCUGCACGCAUUUGAAAUGUUUGAUUAGUUACAACAUCAUAUGUUUCAAGUCCGACUCCCCAUAGUUCCUUCAACUCUGCAAUCAAUGGUUGCAAGUAUACAUCUAUAUCAUUUCCCGGAGACGAUGGACCUGGAAUAAUCAUUGACAACAUAAUAUUCUCCGACUUCAUGCAACUCCAUGGUGAUAAAUUAUAGUUCAUUAACAUAACUGGCCAUGUGCUAUGGGAAAAGCUCAUAGUUCUGAAUGGAUUGAAACCAUAACUUGAAAGACCCAAUCUAACAUUACGAGCAUCAUUAGCAAAUUCAGGAUGCAAGGAAUCGAAAUCCUUCCAAGCUUCACCAUCUGCAUAAUGUCUUAAAUUUCCAUCUUUAGGUCGUUCAGUAUCAUGCCAUCUCAUAGCUACAGAUGUUUCAGAACACAUGGAUAUCCUCUGAAGCCUAGGCUUUAAAGGAAAGUACCUUAAAACCUUCACUGGGAUUUUAGUGACCUUAUUAGUUAAGUCAUUACGAACAUUCUUCCAUCUUGAAGCUCCACACACAGAGCAAUUAUCUAACUUAGCAUUGUCAUUCCAAAAUAACAUGCAAUCGUUAGUGCAAGCAUGAAUUUUCUCAUAAUGAAGACCCAAAUCUUUUAUGACCUUUUUUGCCUUGUAAAAAGACUCGGGUAUCUGAGCAAGUGGAAAUGCCUCUCUUAUCAGGUCCAACAAAUCUGAAAAGGCCACAUCAGUCAACUUGUGAAUGCAUUUGAACAAGUAUACCCGGAUGGUAAAACUCAACUUAGAAAAAUUCUUACACCCCGGAUACAACUCUUCUUUCCCUUCCUCCACUAAUUUAGAAAAUCUCUUUGCAUAUUUAGAUGGUCCCUCUCUCACUCCUUUAUGCCUCUGGUCAUCUUCUACAUUUCUAAAAGUAUUAUGAAGUAGUCUAUCAAUAUCAUCAUUCAUGUUGGAAGUUUCUUCAUCAUUGGUUGGAUGUGGCGUAUUUCUUGAGGAAAAUCCUUCUCCAUGAAAAACCCAUUUGGUGUAUCCAUGAACAAAUCCAUGACAAAUUAAGUGACCCUCUACCAUAUCUCGACAAUGCCAAUUACGAUUAAAGUACUUCUUACAAGGACAUAAUAUUUCAUUUCCUUAGGAAGCUCGUUCAAAUGCUUUAUCAAAAAAAUCAUUAACUCCAUGAAUAUAUUCAUUGGUGAAUCUUCGGAGAUUCAUCCAACUUUUAUCUCCAAAAUCCAUUGAAUAUAUAUAUCCUACAUGACAUGUGCAAAUCAUCAAAGCCAAUAAAUUCAUGAGUACAGGAAAUAUCAAGAGAACUUAACCUUUCAAAGUUUUAGAUUAAUUGAAUAUCAAAUCUCCGCAUCAAUUCAACACCAAACAAUGGCAGUAUUAAUAGUAGAAUACCAAAAAUAUUGACAAGUUAAGUUAUUAGCAGCUUCUACCAUUUAAGAAACUUUAUACAAAUGAAUGAAAAAAAAUCAGAAGAAAAACUAAUUAUAGAAAAAAGUAUUCCAAUAUUUAGUGUACACCUUAACAUUUUUCAAAUUCUAAUUACCUUCCUAUGCUUGGCUACUAAGAUACAAUAAUAGUAGACCAAAUACUUCAAAUUGUGUAUUAUUUUUUUGGCAAAAUGUGUAAUGAUUAUUGUAUAAGCUAAACUUUUUUAUAUGAUUAUAUUUAGAGUUUAGACUGUCAAAGAAAUCGGACAGUUGACGAUUGCACCAAUACAUACACAUUGUUAAUUAGAAGAGUUUCACCUAUCUUAUGCAUGCUACUCUCACAAUCCAAAAUUGCAACAGAAUCAUAAAUAAAUAGUGUAAUCAGAAUCUUCAUCUACAUAGCUACCCCUGAAAUGGAUAUUAACAUCAAAAGGUAGAGGGAAUAAACUCAAACGCACACAAGAAGUAAAUUCAGUGAAAUUCUCUUAGACUCUAGCAUGAAAAUUCUUCCUGAAAUUUUCAAAUCUGAUCAGUCCAGCAUAAUCAGUUUAUUGUAUAGAAAAAGAUGACAAGUAUCUUAGACUUUUUUUUACCUGAAAUAUAUCCUGUGCGUGAUUUUGAGGGGAAAAAAUCAACUACAUAUCGAAAUUUCUCUCAUAAAACUAAAAUUCACUCUCUCAAAGACUUUUGCUUGAGAGUUCUCAAAUCUCCACCAAACAUGAAAUACAAACUAUAACCCUAGAUUAUAUGGCAGACCUAGAUUAGAACAAAUAACAUAGAUUUAAGACAAACCCAUAUAUUAUUCUUUACGAUUUUUCAAAAAUCAUUCAAUGGGGACUUAGAAAUCAUUAACUAGCAGAGAAAACAUAAAAUUUACUCACCUUUACAUCCAAGAAUUUGUUAUCGAAAGACCAGUGGAGCUUCAACUGAAGUAAAAGAUAUCAAUGCCCAAGAAAUUUGUUGUCGAAAGACCAACGAGCUUCACCAGAGAGAUUUCUUCACCAAGAACUUCGCUGUUGUUUCCUUCACCAAGAACUUCGCUGAGAAUUUGUAGAACAGAACAACAUUUGGGAAAAAGUGUGCUUUAAUUUGGUUGAAAAAGGGUUUUAUGGGAAAGGCCUUUUUUCUUUUAGAUUUUUUUAAUGACAUAUAUAUUUUUGGGGAGGGAAAUAUAUUUUAGGGAUAAAAAUCAGAACCACAAUAUUUGUCCUAAAAUAAUCGUUGCCAUAGAGUCAUCUAUUGCAACGAUUCUAAAAUAUGUAGCCAUAGAAACUCUAUAGGGACGGUUAUAUGGAUGAUGCCACGGUUCAUUUUAAGAAUUGUUCUAUUAAAUCCAAUGAUAUAUUGCAACAUUUAUAACCGUUGUAAUAGGCAAUCUAUUGCUACGAUUGUAUAGCCGUUGCUACAUAAGCGUUGCAGUAAGUCAAAUUUCUAGUAGUGACACAUGAGGAGGGAUGGCACACUGCGAAAGGGAAAUCAACAAUCAAACACACUCAUACUGAUGAAGAUAUGGGGCGAUAGAUUAGAAUAAGAGACAGUUUCAACACAAUGGAGGAGGGUGAGUAUCUAAAUGUGUGUGAAAUUGGUUAGGGUAGUGAAGACAUAAGGGGAGGUAACAAUAGGCAAGUCCCACAAACUAACACUGGAUGAAUAUAAUAGCAUAGAAUGUGAGGGGACUAAAUAAAGUGUAUAAACACAAGGAGCUUAAGGUGUUUCUAUAAGAAAAUAAAGUAGGAGUAAUUGUUAUUACAGAAACUAGAGUUAAAGAGAAUAAUGCAGCUCAAGUUGUGAAGAAGAUAACAAAGAAUUGGAUAUGGCAUAACAAUUAUGUUGAGGAUCCAGGGGGGAGAAUUUGGAUAUUAUGGAAUCCAAUAGUGGUGGAAUUCCAAUUAUUGGGCACACACAUACUAGUGAUUCAUGGUUCAGUAAAGGUGAGAGGUAGUGACAUGAUAUUUGAUCUAAGCAUGGUUUAUGGCCUACAUACAUGUCUGGAUAGAAGGGACAUGUGGUAUGAGUUGAAUCAAUACAAUAUGAGGUGCAGACAGCCUUGGUUAGUAAUGGGUAAUUUCAACUCUAUUUUGCAUGUUGAGGACAAAAUAGUGGGCUCACAAGUUCAGGAGACAGAACUAAGAGAUUUUAAGCAAUGUUUACUAGACACUAGGUUACCAGAAUUGAAGACUGUGAGUAGGAACUAUACUUGGACAAAUGGCCACACUUAUAGUAGUAUAGAUAAAGCCUUGGUGAAUGCUAUGUGGUUGCAAUCCUGGACCCAUUUGGAGUGCAGCAUACUUGAUCCUAGAUUUUCAGAUCAUAGCCAUUUGUGUGUAACAAUAGAAGCAAGGGAGAAUACUGGACCUAAGCCAUUCAGAUUCUUCAACUACUUGGCUGAACACCCGGAGUUCAUGCAGACAGUGGAGAAUAACUGGAAAUCACAAAGACAGGCUAGCUCUAAGAAUGAGGUUUGGAGGAAAAUAAAAAGGUUGAAACAACCUAUGAGGGGUUUGAGUAAUCAUAAUUUUCAAGGGAUUCAAUAUAGAGUAAUAUGAUUAGGACUCAAUUGAAGAUGCUACAGGAACAAAUGAGGUAUGUCCGAGAUGAUAACCAAGUGAAGCAAUAUUAGAUGGAAAAGAACCUCAAAACACAAUUGGAAAAGUGGAGAAAUAUAGAGGAGAGUGCAACCAAACAUAAAUCCAGGGUUCUGUGGUUAAAAGAAGGUGAUUUAAAUACUACAUACUUCCAUGCAUGCAUGAAGAAUAGACAAGUACACAAUCAUAUCACAAGAUUGACAGAUGCAGCUGGAAUAGUAAUGCAGGAUGUCAAAGGUAUACAAGAGGAGAGAGUGAGUUUCUACAGAGGUCUAUUGGGUACAAAAGCAAAGCAACUAACCCCUGUCCAGCCUCAUAUCAUAGAAUUGGGACCAACUUUGAAUAGAGAACAACAAUUAUUAUUGAUUGACAAGGUUACAACAAAAGAUGUGUACAAUGCUCUGUUGACUAUUCAGGAUAACAAGGCCCCAGGAGGUGAUGGUUUUAAUGCUCUAUUUUAUAAUAAAACAUAGCCUAUAAUAGGUAAGGAGAUCACUCAAGUUGUGUUACACUUCUUUGAUACUGGAAUAAUGUGUGAUGCUAUAAAUUGUGCUCUUAUCACUUUGAUUCCAAAGACUAAGCAUCCUCAAUCAGUGAAAGAGUAUAGGCCAAUAUCAUGAUGCACCAUUCUAUACAAGAUUAUUUCCAAGAUCUUAACUAUAAGAAUGCAAUCUGUGAUGGACACAUUGAUAGAUCCUAGCCAAGCAGUUUUUGUACCAGGGAGAGUAAUAAUGGAUAACAUUUUACUUAGCGAUGAAUUGGUGAAAGGAUAUGGCAGGAAAGGUAUAUCUCCUAGAAGCAUGAUGAAGAUUGUCAUGCAGAAGGCAUAUGAUUAUUUUGAGUGGCCUUUUGUUGAACAAAUUCUGAGACUAUUAAACUUCCCAACUAAAUUUAUUAAUUGGAUUAUGGCUUGCCUCACAACUGUGUCCCAUUUAAUACUAUCCAAUGGUGUGCCUGCUAGUCCUUUUAAGGCAAAAAAAGGUUUAAGGUAUGGGGAACAUGUGUCCCCAUAUUUUUUUGUUCUGAGUAUGGAGUAUCUGAGUAGACUACUGAAGAACAUGAAGUGGACUAGGGAAAUGCUCAAAGGUGAACAUAGUCCAGUUGGGUUUUGCUGAUGAUCUCCUACUAUUUUGCAGAGGUGAUGCCAGAUCUGUCCAAUUAUUGUUUGAUACCUUCCAAGAAUUCUCAAAGGCAUCAGGAUUGAUAGUAAAUACCAGCAAAAGAUCCAUAUACUUUAGAGGAGUAAGCAUUACUGAACAAGAUGAAAUAAUGGCAUACACAGGAUUUAGUAGAGGGAAAAUGCCUUUUAGAUAUCUUGGGGUACCUCUUAGUACAAAACGACUAUCCAUUGCUCAAUGUGAACCAUUGUUGGAAAAGAUACUAUGCUGGAUUUCUUCAUUGACAACAAAGUUCCUAUCUUAUGUUGGUAGAGCCCAAUUGAUAAGGAGUGUACUGAUAUCAAUGCAAACAUAUUGGUCACAAAUUUUCAUCUUACCAAAGAAGAUAUCACAAUUGAUUGAUCAGAUGUGUAAAAGAUUUUUGUGGACCGGGAAGGCAGAAGUAACAAAGAAAGCAUUAGUAGCUUGGAGUAGACUAUGUCAACCUCAAUCAGCAGGUGGGAUGAAUAUGAUUGAUAUGGAAAUAUGGAACAAAGUUGCAAUCAGCAAGCUGUUACGGAAUAUGUGUACAAAGAAGAAUAAAAUAUGGAUCAAGUGGAUCUAUGCAUAUUAUGUGAAGGGUAGAUGUACUUGGGAAAUAGAACCAAAGAAGGCAUCGUGAGUGAUGCAGGAGAUAUUUAAGGCAAACAAAUAUUUCAUAGAUGCUGACAUACCUUUGGAGACAGUACAUACAAUGUCCAGAUUGACCAUUAAAAGCAUAUAUCAAAAGUUACAAGGACAAUUUGAAAAGGUUAGUUGGAAGGGAGUUAUAUGUGGUAACCAAGGUGCACCUACAUGGAUAUUUAUGUUGAGAUAAGUCGCAUUGGGAAAAAUAUACACUUGUGAUAGACUGGCCAAAUGGGGAAUGGGCGUAAACUUACAAUGCCAACUGUGCAAUAAUUAUCUUGAGUCUAUUCAACACCUAUUCUUUGGGUGCAACUACACGGGACAACUAUGGGCUAGGCUACUCAAAUGGAUGCACAUCCAAAGACCAUGUAUGGAGUGGGAGGGGGAACUCAAAUGGGUGGAGAAGUGGUGUAAAAGGAGAAGUAGCAGGGCUAAGGUUUACAAAAUAACACUAGCUGCAGCACCUCAAAAUAGGCUAUAUAUCCAAAUGUUUAGAUGUUAUCCAUUUUCUAGAUUGGUAGCGGAGAUAGAUGCUAAGAUAAUCAGGAGCUAGGUAUGUCCAAUCAUGUAUGUCUUUUAUUGUAACUUGAGCUGUAAUUCUUACUUGGUAAUAAAUAUUUUUAUCUACCAAAAAAAAAGAGUUUUCUUAUGCUAAAUUGAUUUAUGCAUUAACCAUUUUAAAUUGAGUGGUAAGGGUUCUCCUAUCUAGGUGUUAGAGUAAGUACCCACUCGAUCCAGUGGAUUGGGUUGUGAUAAUUUGAUAUCAGAGCCCAGGUUACCGAUCUCCCACUAUAAAAGCAAAUGUUGAAUAGAGUUUUGAGGAUGGUUAUGUUGACGUCCACAUUUAUAUUCAUGGAAUUAUGAAGCAUUCUAAGAAAUUGUUCCACUUCUUCACUCUUUUCAUGUAGUCUGUCACUUACGAUAUGAAUUGAUUCCAAUUGGUAUCUCUAGAUUCCAGGUAAUAUCUCUAUGAAGUAGAUAGAAUGGCGUGGGUGUGGGUGUGGUUGAAGGAAACAUACAAUGAAAGAUCGUAACCAGGAAGGUUCAAAUUGGUAUUAAUCUUUAAAAGUCACGUGGAUGCAUGGAUGACCAAUGCAAAUAAAAUGUACCAAACCUAAUAAAUUUAAUGAUAACAUUGUUGAUUGUAGUUGCUUGAAUUUUCGUGAGAUUGUGGACAAGGAGAAGUUGUGACCUGCUUAUGUGUGAUAAUUGAAUGAUGAAUUUCUAUGUGUUUAAAUGAUCAUGCCUUGGUUUAGGUUCGAUCUUGAAUGUUCUGAUCAUAUGGUAUUGGCCCUAUGAUGUGUUCUGAGUCUGAUCUUGGGGUCACGUUCAAGGACUGUAUCAUACAUUUUUGGGAAUGAUCUUGGGAACUACUUUAUUAACCAAAGUUAUGUUUCUGGAGUUGUGGUGAUUGUGGGGAGGGGGUAAGGUUGCAUAAUUUUGAAAAAUUUUGGAAUGUCCUCGUCAAGGCACCAAGUGGACCGGGUCCCUAUAAUGCUCCCAUUAUAGUGGGAAUUUUUGUUCUAUAGUAGGAGUCAAUAUAGCGGCGUGUCACUCCCUAUAGUGCGCAGAGAAGAGAUAGAACCUAAAACCAUGUAUUUUCCUAAUUCCUAAAAUGUCUUAAAUCGAUUGUUCUUGUUCAUAUUAAUGCGCAACAAUAGAAAAGUAUCCAUAAACAACCUUAGCAUAUAAUAUCGGUGACAAUAAGUUAGUAGAGAAAAUUGAAGGAAAGGUAUCCUUCAAGUUUGGAAUUAACUAUUGGUAACUAUUUUGACCAAGAAAAGGUCAAACACACUUAACUAUUAAAUUAAGUUAAUUGUGGACUCAAUUAACAUUUUCAAAACUUAUAAUCUUUUUAGAAAUACAAAAUAAUUCACCCACUAAAUAAACAAACUUUCCACUCCCUCUCUCAAAUGUUCUCCUCUCUCCCACAGAAGAAAAGUUCUCCUCUCUCAAAAAUUCAAAAUUGCUUUAAUCGGGAUAAUCAAUUUCUCCGGCAACUUUCAACUUUCGAUGGCCGUAUUUUGAACUUUCGAUUAGUCUAUUCUAACCAUCCAAGGGAACAACGAUUUGCAGGUAAAACUUAAUUUUUUUGAAAAAAAUUAGGGCUUUGUUAAGGAUUUUUAGUUUUUUUUUAAAAAAGAAAUACUGCAAAGAGACUAUUCUGAGGGAGGUUACAAUUUGCAUAUACUCUUCCCUCAAGCGCUGCCCAGGUUUUGUGCGAUUCCGGUUAAGACAAUGAAGUUUUUGCUUGUUUAGGUGAGAUGGGGAAGAAAAGGGGUUUCCCCAAUUGGGUUCCUAAUGGGUUGACAUGUUCUGCAGGUAUUUUUGAAAAGAGCUCCUGGGUUUAUAUUUAAUUUUGAAAAGGUUUGCCUAAUUAGGUUCCUGGAAAUCUAAAUUCUCUGUAAUUUGUUAUCUCACUAAUCUUUUGCCCUUUUUUUUUUUUUUUGCCAUCCAAUCAUUUUACUUUCUUUCCCUUUAUUUUCUUCAACCACGAAUGCGUGCAGGUACUUGGUGAAAAUUCUAGGAGUAACAAAGUUCUAUUGGAGAUGAUUAGGUUAGUGUGCGAUUUAUAUGCUUAAUCAGUAAUAUAUGCUUUGUUUUCUAGAUUAAAAUAGACAUUUAGUAAUAGAUAGUACAUAUACGCGUGUAUAGAAAAUAAUUUUGUACUGAAUUGAAUUUGUUGUUGCUGAUGGGUGAUCAAUGCAGUUAUAUUUUAAAUCCGGUGACUUAAGCUAAAAUUGCAUUUGCUAUUUUGAUAAAGUGAUCCCACUGAAAAUGAGCUUUUCAGCUUCUUCCGCAUUUAUGAAAGUUGAGCUAGGGAGUACUUGAAGAAGAGAUAUGCAAUUUUGGUAGUAUUAAGCUAUUUUACAUAAAAGGUAGUGGGAUAUGUAUUUUCGGUGUUUUGAUUGGGAAUGAAAUGACUUAGCUUAUUUUUGUUAAGCUAUGGAUUGUUUUGAUGAAUAAAAUUUAUUUUCCCUUUUUAAUCUAUUUGACACAAAAGGAUAGUUGGAUCUCAAUUUUGGUGAUUUUAUCACUUGGUUAUGUUUGCUUAAACAGCAUUGCGGCAAGAAAUUAAGUUAGAAAUGAACUUGGUUUUUGGCAUGGUAUCUAAUUUUAAAUUUUUAUUUUCAUCAUCUUUAUAUUUUUAGGCUUGGACAUUUGAAGCAAUACCUUACCUCAGGAAGCUUUUCAAGGAUUACUCGGAAGAAAUUUCUCAACAAAGGAUUCUUAGGUGGUUGUCUACCAAGAACAAUCCAAAAAUAAAUUUUGUUGAUCUCUUCAGUCCUCCUCAUGAUAUAGUAAGUCUUCUAUAGAAUAACCUUUAUUUAAAUUAAUUGAUUAUCUAGUUUGCUUUCGUUUAGUUUUCUUCCAAUAAAUGGCUCAUCUAUAGUCAUCUAUUGCAAUAGAUAGGUAAUCUGUUGGAAGAAAACAUAAGAGUUUGCUACUGUUUUGCUUUCGUCCAACAGAUGACUAAUUUGUUGCAAUAGAUGAGUCAUUUGUUGGACGAAAACUUAAUCAUUUGCUACUGAUUUACUUACAUCCAACAAAUGACCUAUUUGUUGCAACAAAUAGGUCAUUUGUUGGACGAAGUCUAAAUCGUUUGCAACUGUUUUACUUACUUCCAAUAGAUGACCGAUCUGUUGCAACAUAUGGGUCAUUUGUUGGAAGAAAACUGAUAAUUUGUUGUUGUUUAGCUUACUUCCAAUAGAUGCAACAAAUGGGUCAUCUGUUGGAAGAAAACUUGAUAAUUUGCUACUGUAUAGCUUUCUUCCAAUAAAUGGUCCAUCUAUUGCAACAUAAUGAUCAUCUGUUAGAAAUACAAUUUUACAAUAAAUAUUUUAUCUAUUAUAAUUUAUAGAUUAGUUUUAAUAUAAAUUACUUUUGUUUAUAGAUUGUACAUCCCUGGCUUGUCCCCACAAAGCAAAAGUUGCAAAUGUCAUUCUUUUUAACUCUAGAAAUCAUUGACACAAAAUAAACCCUACAGUGGAUAUGAUAAAAAAAAGAAUUGGCUGGAGCAAUAACCAUCAAAAGGGAAGCACUUAUUGUUCCUGGUGAUGCUGAUGAUGGUGCAAUAAAUGUUGGUGAUGAUGCUAAUGUUAAUGUUGGUGUUGAUAUUGGUGAUAUUGGUGCUAAAGGUGGUGGUGAGCAUGUUGAUGAUGUUGGUGGUAUAUAUGGUGGAUUCACCUAUUUCAGUUGGUGGUAUAUAUUUAGUUAAUCAUAUUUUGUAAUUACUAGUGACAAUAUUUUAUAUUUAAUAGAUGUUCAGUAAUUUUACCAUGAAUUCCAUUCUAUUCUUAGAUUUGUAAAAUGUUAAAUUAUACUAUUGGAAAUAGACAUAUGUUGCAGCAAGUUAUGAGUUACUUAUUNNNNNNNNNNNNNNNNNNNNNNNNNNNNNNNNNNNNNNNNNNNNNNNNNNNNNNNNNNNNNNNNNNNNNNNNNNNNNNNNNNNNNNNNNNNNNNNNNNNNNNNNNNNNNNNNNNNNNNNNNNNNNNNNNNNNNNNNNNNNNNNNNNNNNNNNNNNNNNNNNNNNNNNNNNNNNNNNNNNNNNNNNNNNNNNNNNNNNNNNNNNNNNNNNNNNNNNNNNNNNNNNNNNNNNNNNNNNNNNNNNNNNNNNNNNNNNNNNNNNNNNNNNNNNNNNNNNNNNNNNNNNNNNNNNNNNNNNNNNNNNNNNNNNNNNNNNNNNNNNNNNNNNNNNNNNNNNNNNNNNNNNNNNNNNNNNNNNNNNNNNNNNNNNNNNNNNNNNNNNNNNNNNNNNNNNNNNNNNNNNNNNNNNNNNNNNNNNNNNNNNNNNNNNNNNNNNNNNNNNNNNNNNNNNNNNNNNNNNNNNNNNNNNNNNNNNNNNNNNNNNNNNNNNNNNNNNNNNNNNNNNNNNNNNNNNNNNNNNNNNNNNNNNNNNNNNNNNNNNNNNNNNNNNNNNNNNNNNNNNNNNNNNNNNNNNNNNNNNNNNNNNNNNNNNNNNNNNNNNNNNNNNNNNNNNNNNNNNNNNNNNNNNNNNNNNNNNNNNNNNNNNNNNNNNNNNNNNNNNNNNNNNNNNNNNNNNNNNNNNNNNNNNNNNNNNNNNNNNNNNNNNNNNNNNNNNNNNNNNNNNNNNNNNNNNNNNNNNNNNNNNNNNNNNNNNNNNNNNNNNNNNNNNNNNNNNNNNNNNNNNNNNNNNNNNNNNNNNNNNNNNNNNNNNNNNNNNNNNNNNNNNNNNNNNNNNNNNNNNNNNNNNNNNNNNNNNNNNNNNNNNNNNNNNNNNNNNNNNNNNNNNNNNNNNNNNNNNNNNNNNNNNNNNNNNNNNNNNNNNNNNNNNNNNNNNNNNNNNNNNNNNNNNNNNNNNNNNNNNNNNNNNNNNNNNNNNNNNNNNNNNNNNNNNNNNNNNNNNNNNNNNNNNNNNNNNNNNNNNNNNNNNNNNNNNNNNNNNNNNNNNNNNNNNNNNNNNNNNNNNNNNNNNNNNNNNNNNNNNNNNNNNNNNNNNNNNNNNNNNNNNNNNNNNNNNNNNNNNNNNNNNNNNNNNNNNNNNNNNNNNNNNNNNNNNNNNNNNNNNNNNNNNNNNNNNNNNNNNNNNNNNNNNNNNNNNNNNNNNNNNNNNNNNNNNNNNNNNNNNNNNNNNNNNNNNNNNNNNNNNNNNNNNNNNNNNNNNNNNNNNNNNNNNNNNNNNNNNNNNNNNNNNNNNNNNNNNNNNNNNNNNNNNNNNNNNNNNNNNNNNNNNNNNNNNNNNNNNNNNNNNNNNNNNNNNNNNNNNNNNNNNNNNNNNNNNNNNNNNNNNNNNNNNNNNNNNNNNNNNNNNNNNNNNNNNNNNNNNNNNNNNNNNNNNNNNNNNNNNNNNNNNNNNNNNNNNNNNNNNNNNNNNNNNNNNNNNNNNNNNNNNNNNNNNNNNNNNNNNNNNNNNNNNNNNNNNNNNNNNNNNNNNNNNNNNNNNNNNNNNNNNNNNNNNNNNNNNNNNNNNNNNNNNNNNNNNNNNNNNNNNNNNNNNNNNNNNNNNNNNNNNNNNNNNNNNNNNNNNNNCAUUCAAUUCAUCAUUUAACAGAUUUUGUUGGUCUUAUUUUACAUUUUCAUUCUCUAUUGAUUUUUCAGCAACGUACACCUUUAAAACGAACCUAGUUGCAUCACUCAGUUCAUCAUUUGAAAUAUUCAUGUUCAUCCCAUUCAAUUCAUCAUUUAACAGAUUUUGUUGGUCUUAUUUUACAUUUUCAUUCUCUAUUGAUUUUUCAGCAACGUACACCUUUAAAACGAACCUAGUUGCAUCACUCAGAUAAGCACGUAAACGAAGUUGAUUGCUUAUCUUAAAAGGUAGGGACCUCUGAUUUUCAAAUGACUUGUGCAUGUAACUGAUGACAAGAUCAUUUGGUUGACAAUUUAGUCCACAAUAGCUAAUGAUUGAGUUCACAAAAUCAUUAUACAAAAUAUCCCUUUGGACGGUCAUCAAUAUUGACUCUGACAUGUCACCAUCCUUCCAACGCCAAAUAAAUAUAUUGUUCUUCUCAAUCCAUUCACCAUAACAAUCAACAACUAUUGUUAUUGAUUCUUCCAUUAAUGGUACCUAAAGGAAUCUAUUAAAAAUAUUUAAUGAUGAUUGUAUAGUAAAGUUGAGUGGCUAUUACAAUUAAAAAUCAUAUGCACAAUCAUUGUACCAACAAGUCAAUCAUCUAUUGCAACAAGUAGGUCAUCCGUUGCAGCAGAUGAUUCACUUGUUGGAUACAUGUCCAGAACCAUAAGCUUAUCUAACAUGUAAGUCAAUUAUUAUAACAGAUGAGUCAUCUGUUUCAACCGGUAAUUGAUCUGUUGCAUUAUGUAAUUAAUCUGUUGCAAUAUAUGACUUGUCUGUUUGGAUAAAUUUCUGGUUUUGUCUUAGUUUGGCCUGGUACUGUAACAUGUAUUCAACNNNNNNNNNNNNNNNNNNNNNNNNNNNNNNNNNNNNNNNNNNNNNNNNNNNNNNNNNNUAUGACUUAUCGAUUGCAAUAAAUGACUUAUUUGUUGGGAUAAACUUCUGAUUCAUUCCAGCUUGACAUGGUACUGUAAUAUGUAUCCUACAGGUAAUCUAUCUGUUGCAACAGAUGACUUACCUGUUAGGUACGCGACUGUAAUUUUUUAAGAAACACUCAAAAUAUCAAAAUGAAAAAUUCGAGUAAAAAUCAUUAGUUUACUUACAAAAAUCACCUAUGAUGUAAUGCCCAAUGAUAUAUGAAUGAAAAUUGGUUUGAAAGCAGCAGUACAAUAUAAAUAUCAACUGAAGAAGAAAAAAAUGAUGAACAACCAGAAGAUGAUGAACAACAAGAAGAAGAAGAAUGAUGAUGGAGAAGAAGAAGAAUGAUGAUGGAGAAGAAGAAGAAUGAUGAUGGAGAAGAAGAAGAAUGAUGAUGGAGAAGAAGAAGAAUGAUGAUGGAGAAGAAGAAGAAUGAUGAUGGAGAAGAAGAAGAAUGAUGAUGGAGAAGAAGAAGAAUGAUGAUGGAGAAGAAGAAGAAUGAUGAUGGAGAAGAAGAAGAAUGAUGAUGGAGAAGAAGAAGAAUGAUGAUGGAGAAGAAGAAGAAUGAUGAUGGAGAAGAAGAAGAAUGAUGAUGGAGAAGAAGAAGAAUGAUGAUGGAGAAGAAGAAGAAUGAUGAUGGAGAAGAAGAAGAAUGAUGAUGGAGAAGAAGAAGAAUGAUGAUGGAGAAGAAGAAGAAUGAUGAUGGAGAAGAAGAAGAAUGAUGAUGGAGAAGAAGAAGAAUGAUGAUGGAGAAGAAGAAGAAUGAUGAUGGAGAAGAAGAAGAAUGAUGAUGGAGAAGAAGAAGAAUGAUGAUGGAGAAGAAGAAGAAUGAUGAUGGAGAAGAAGAAGAAUGAUGAUGGAGAAGAAGAAGAAUGAUGAUGGAGAAGAAGAAGAAUGAUGAUGGAGAAGAAGAAGAAUGAUGAUGGAGAAGAAGAAGAAUGAUGAUGGAGAAGAAGAAGAAUGAUGAUGGAGAAGAAGAAGAAUGAUGAUGGAGAAGAAGAAGAAUGAUGAUGGAGAAGAAGAAGAAUGAUGAUGGAGAAGAAGAAGAAUGAUGAUGGAGAAGAAGAAGAAUGAUGAUGGAGAAGAAGAAGAAUGAUGAUGGAGAAGAAGAAGAAUGAUGAUGGAGAAGAAGAAGAAUGAUGAUGGAGAAGAAGAAGAAUGAUGAUGGAGAAGAAGAAGAAUGAUGAUGGAGAAGAAGAAGAAUGAUGAUGGAGAAGAAGAAGAAUGAUGAUGGAGAAGAAGAAGAAUGAUGAUGGAGAAGAAGAAGAAUGAUGAUGGAGAAGAAGAAGAAUGAUGAUGGAGAAGAAGAAGAAUGAUGAUGGAGAAGAAGAAGAAUGAUGAUGGAGAAGAAGAAUGAAGAAGAAGAGAAGCAACAAUGGUCCCCAACAAUGGAAGAAUACGCAAGAGAGGAAAAGGGAAAAAGUGAACCUUUGGUACCCUUUUUCCCCCUCAAUUUCUUAUUAUUGAUGGACUAAAGUGUAAAAUAAAGAAACUUAGGGAUGAAUAAUUCAAUCCCUUAAUUCUUAAUUUAAAAAUUGUCACCCCUACUCAAUAAUUAAGACUUGAGUCACCAAUCCCUAAUUUUGAAACUUUUUUAUAACCCUUAAUUCAUUGUCCCAAGUUAGUACGAACAUCCAUGUGCUAACAAAACAAAGGAAAGCAAUAAAGAUGUCUUUAUGCCCAAAUGAGCCAAAAACCAAGUCUAGUUCAAACACAUCCAAAAAGGGAAGGGGGAAGGUAACGUAAUCGUCUGGAGAUCCUUCGAGGCUCAUUCACGGGUCCAUGUCUCUCUCAGGAAGGGAGAAUCUUAAGAAUCCUCGAGUUCAAGGGUGGGAAGCUCCUACCGGGGAAACAUACGUUAAUAUAACCUUGAUAGCCUUCCACAUCCUACCCAUAAGAUGGUCCCUCUCCAAGUUCCUCCUCUUCUCUUAUUUCAGCUGCUACGUAGCAUCUCAAGUUUGUAGGUAGUGGAGGGUAAGACUGGAGAUUAGGUAGUGACACCUCUUAAAGCUCUCUAGAUAGAAGUUAGGUCCUCUUCCACACGGCUACUAGAAAGUGGGUGUUGGGGCUAUAAAGAAGGGACAUCACCCUUAUCAUCUACUAGAAAGUGGGUCUUGGGGCUAUAAAGGAGGGACAUCACCCUCAUCAUUGACAUCCUCUUCUUCACCUGAGUCGGCUGCGAAACGACUUCUCCCAGCUCUAUUUACUCUCCUCCUUUUCUACUCUAGGGUGGGAACUUCCUCACUAGUAAGGGGUUGAAUGGAGGGGGGGUCUAUCUCUUUUGUCUGGUUAGUAUCAUCCUACAGUACACCAGCUUGCCUGAAAAGUGCGGACACAAAUCUAGAAAGGAACAAGCCCUUCUUGCUGCCUCGAUAGAAAUCCUUCCACUAAGACACUAUUUGUGCUCCCAUAUUCAUUUGAAUUCCUUAGAUAGUGCAAGCCACUACUAGGGCCUAGGGAUACGUCAUAUCAGUGAGGUUGCCUGAUGGGAGAAUCUUUCGGCCCACCGUAUCAACCACCACAAUGCCUCUAUAAAGAAUAGACAUUGGUAAUGCUAUCAGUAGUAUGCCAGUAAACCUUACACCAAUGUUUCUCGUCAACCAGUGAGUCCCAUAACCACCUCAUAUUCAUUCCUUUCAACUUGGCCUCAAACUCAUCGUUGAGAAUCUAUGGCACCCCCAAAACCUUAUUCACUGUAUAAUUAUUAUUUUUUAAAACUCCAUCCCUCGGAAGCGAAGGGAGGGCUAAGGGGAUUCCCAAAGAACUAUCGAGGGGAUAUCAUAAAACUUCCUCACCCAGCCUGAGAGGGAGGACCAGAGAACCUCAACCAAGGGACCCCAAUCAAAUUCUUGAUUACAGUUAUAAAAGGUCAGUGCCUUCUCUUCUACCUCUCACAUGUGGAAUACCCUUUAAUAGCAAAAUUUUAUUGUGAAAUAGUCCAUGAAUUGUUACCAACUAGCUUCCUUAGGGAAUCUCAUGUAAGAAUAAACUUGUUCCUGAUUGGCAGCCAUUUGAGCUAUGAACAUGCAAUUAUUCAAUAAGUAUCAAGUUAUAAUAAUAAAAAUAUCCUAAGAAAGGCUUCCAAAAUAAAAAUCCAGUUCUUGGUUGGAAGGCAGGCUACUGCCCCGCAACCUUCGGUUAUAGCGAGAAUUUCUCUGCUAUAGUGGAAAUCAAGGCCGAUAUAGCGACCUUUAUCGUCCCCAACCUAUAAAAGGUGCGUCAAUGGCGCUCCUUGGCCUAAAAAUCAUGUUUUAUUAAUUUUACUGCAGAAUGGUGUUUCUAAAGUACUAUACUACCAAAAUAUGCAAGAAUCCGAGCAUUCCAACUCCUAAAUCAUGCAUGAAUAUAAGUUUCUACCUAAGAACAACCCCUUAACUUCCCCCAUCAUUUCAAACUCAUUCUUAGACCAUUUCUCUAUGACCCUUACACUCAGAAUGUUGUAGUAGCAUUGUUAACGUAAGGGAAGGCUCCAUGUUAUAACAAUUUUAGCAAACAAGUGAAAAUUCAGAAGUUUGAAAAUUUUCAACUCUAAAACUCUAUUAUUCUAUAUCAAAUUCUAGCAUGCAGUAGCUAGUAUGUACGUAAUGAAUUCAUAAGAGUAGAGAGCAUGAUUGUUACCUUGUUUUUGACAUUUGGAAUGAAGUGAUCAAAGUGGGUUUGAGAGAGUAUGGAGAGUUAAAGAGAGAAAUGGGGAGGAAAAUCUUUUCCCUCCCCUAUAUUCAUCUCUAAUCGUGAUGAGCCUCUAUAGUCGUUGGAUGGCCACUAUGGUGACGUUGUUAUAGCUUCAUCCUGACUACUACAAUGAGAAUCAUCAUAUUGGGUGGAAAGAAAUUUCAGUUGUAACCUCAUGCGUUUAAAUUCUCCUAAAUCGGUGACCUAAUAUACGCAGGAAAUUUUAAUGUUAGGAUUUGCGUGGUAUCAAAAUUUGUCCUUAUUAUUUUGAGUCUAGUCGUAAUCUUUCUUGAUCUGUCUGUUUUCCUCUACGGCCUAAUAUUCGUUCGGAGACAAACGAUGGGUAAAUUUGUAUCUAUUAUAAUAACCUGAUCCAUCGCUAUUUAAGUGUACCUCGUGAGGAAGUCCCAAAUUUUUGAAUUUCGGUUCCCAAUUAAAAAUUGAGACACACAUGGAAUUGCUUAAAAUUGGAUUGUCCGAGCUGACGUCAGCCUACCAUAGCAGGAAGUCUUAUGUUAUGGCGGUGCCGCUAUAGCACCUGCAUGACCUCUAUAGUAGGGCUGACGGGAUAAAACCCUAAUUAAUUUACUGUAUUUUAUUUUCCUUUCACUUUCUAGAGAGAAAGUAGGUGAGGGUUACUCUAAAAAUCCCCCUAAGACACCAUAAGCACAAGGGGAUAUAUGAGAGGGAUUUUCAUGCAAGGAAGGGAAAAACCCAAUAAUUUUUGGUCCACGCUCAUUAGGUUUUUUCCCAAGGAGCAAAGAGUUGCAUUCAACGUUCUUCAAAGAGUUGCUUGGUGCCCAGGUAGGCUAGUUUUCUUAACCUAGUAGUUAGACCUAUAUUUACCCAUAUUAUAUCAUGUAGAUUGUCAUGGGAUUUUCAUGCAUAACCCUUCGGACACAAAGUCUGGAAGGUAAAAUUUAUGGUUAGUUAUGGUUAAGAUGAUGAUGGAACUGAUUGGUUGUGGUUUGUCUUAUUGAUGUUGUUGGGUGUUAAAUAGGGGAAGCUAACAGUGGGUAAUCGAAUUGUGUGCAGGAAAACUUUGGAAAGAUAUCCUUCGGGUAGGGGAUAAUUGUUGUUUUCCCAUAUAUGUUUUAGGUGUUUGUUAACUGCGUUGUUCGUAAUGCAUUCUUGAUACGUGAUCGAAAAUGUUAUAAAGGCAUAAUGUGAAGUAAAACUAUUGUCAAUCACGUGCAAUGAAUGUGUUACAUGAAUGUAUAAAUGCAUUUGUCAUUUAUUGGUGGUAUCGUGUUAUGUAUAAAUACUUAGUAGAUCAAGUGCCACAUCAAAACACACACGCGUGCACCCCCCCCCCACAUAUAUAUAUGUGUAUGUGUGUGUGCUGGCAUAACACCUGAUCCAACACACACACGCGAGCACACCCCACCCCCACACAUAUAUACUCCCUCCGUCCCAUUUUAUGUGGCACUUUUCGGAUUUCGAGAUUCAAACAAAUCUAAUUUUGACCGUAAAUUUUUCAUAGAUUUUUUAAACAUUUUGAAUUAUUAAUUAUUGUGACUUAUAGUACUUUUUACGUAGUUUACAAAUAUAUAAAUUUUGUUCAAAAAAAUUGAAGAUUUCAUGCGCAAAUUCCUUAUCAAACUUAAAUUGUUUGACUCUCAAAAAAUAAAAAAUGCCACAUAAAUUGUGACGGAAGGAGUAUAUAUAUAUGUCGGUACAUGUAUAGUUAUGGGUGGUUGGUUUCAUGAGGGUUUGGAUUAUGUGUUUAAAAGCUUUGGCGUUCUUUUGAGUAGACUGGGAUGGCAUGUUAAAUAAUGUAGGUGAUGCUUUGGUUCGGGCAAUUUUAUAACAAUGGCUAGAAUUGGUUAUAUCUAUUUGCUAAGUGUUGGGGAUACUCGUUCAUAUGUUGUAUAAUGGAAGUGUGUAAAGUAAGAAGUUGCAAGAAGUAGCAGUAUGGUGUUUGGGGAAUUAUUGUGUAAUAGAGGGGUUAGGUUAUGAUUUAGUGUGAAUGAAGUUGGCACCAGAAGGAAUAUGGUGUGUUGAGUUCAAGUGAUGGAUUACCUGUAGUGAGGAUGGUGAAUGGGUGGACUGGGGCCUAACUUUAUAUUCAACAUACAUAUUUCUUUGUUUAUUAUUGCAUGAUAUUAUGUGGUGGGGUGAGGUCGACUGAUGAUGUGUACCAGUACGUGUUGUUUGUACUGAUACUACUCUUUCUAUGCCACUUGGCAUAGUUUCUGGUUGCAAGAUUCAGUAAUGUUUCAUAGGUGAAGAGAAUUAUGAUCUCCGACAACUUCUACUCAUUUUUCUUAUGGUUGGAGUUGUGUCUUAUUUCUUUUUAUACAUAGUAGCUUCUUACUGACUUUUGUACCUACUUAGACUAGUUCCUUGGGAAGGUUUUUCAGUUGUUUGUAAAAAGAUGAUUCUUAUAAUCCAGUUUAUAUUUAUUCAAGGAUUUUAAAAGAGUUUUCUUAUGUCGAAUUGAUUUUCACAUUGUGUUUUUCAAAUUGAGUGUUGAGAAUUUUCCUAUGUAGGUGUUAGAGUAGGUGCCCGCACGGCUCAGCGGGUUGGGUCGUGACAUAGGCCCACUUUGACAUAUGUGUUUGUGCAGUUUCACAAAAAGGUCAAUAUCUCUCUAUUCUAAUGUCAUAUUCACAAAUAGUUUAGUGCGUUGGAAACUAUACUCAUAAAUCUAUAAUUCGAUAGGUGGUAGUCCCUCUAACUCUAUAUAGUUUGGGAUCUCUGGUCAUCACAAGUCAAAUCACAUACGAGACUAUUUAAAAUACCUUCCCGAAAUAAAACUUUCAAAAAUAAUAUUUUUUUUACCAAGCUCCCUUUGGCCUAAAACUUUAAUCAAAUUCUUUGAUCAUCCCCAUAAAUACAUUUCAUCAAAUGAUAACCCAUUUAAAAUUUUAUUCUCCCAAUAACUCAUGAUCAGACAAUAUAGAGCGGGGAAAAAAAUAAUUUUUGGCGCAUAUGUUUCUAGAUUAACAAGUUAGUUAAUUUAAAAUAUAUGGGGUGCUAUAGGUUAAGGCGACAAAAUGGAAACUUUCGAACACAUGUAGGUUGAACUAGGGAAUAAAGAUAGAGAUAAAAAAAUUGUAAGGGAUCACAAAGGCGAGAGAGGAAGGCUUGAGACCUUGAUCAAGUGAAAGACAUUAACUAUGAGGAAGGUAAGUGGAAGGGAUCCUCAUUAGGCAAAAAUGAUAAACUUACUUCCACAAACUCUUGAAUGAAGAGUGGGACAAAGACAUUAUGUUGGGGAUUUGGAGUACUCUGAGAGUCGUCGGUAUUUUAAGUUCUUUAGGUGUAUUACGGUUGAGGAGGUUAAGCGUUAUAUUAUAGGAUAAUUAGAGAAAGCGCAACCGAAUGAGUUGAAUUUCCGAUGGAGUUUGGAAGAGCAUAGACAUGACAAGCAUAAAGUGGUUGACUGGAUUAUUUAAUGUCAUUUUAAGACGACAAAAAUGUCUGAAGAUUCGAGGUAGAGUUAAAUGUUCCUGUUGUACAAGAACAAGGGUGAUAUCCAAAAUUGUAACAAUUAUAACAUUAAGUUGUUGAUCCACUCUAUGAAAAUUUGAGAGAGGAUGAUGAAGAUGAGUGUGACAAAGGGUUUGUUCAUUUCUGAGAACCAAUUCGAUUUCACGCUAGUGUGAUCGACUACAGAAGUCAUCUAUUUAGUGAGGAGACUGAGCGAAAAAUAUAGGGAAAGGAAGAAAUACUUACAUAUAGUGUUCAUUAACCUUGAAAAAACUUAUGACAAAGUUAUGAGAGAAAUCCACCAGAGAUAUAUGGAUGCUAAAGGCGUAUUGGUGGCAUAUAUUAGGGCCAUAAAUGACUUGUAUGAUGGCGUCAAUACCCGGAUUAGAACGAAGGGAGGAGACUUUGAGAACUUUCUUGUUGAGAUGGAGUUGCAUUCUGUAUUAGUUCUUAGCCCGUUCAUAUUUGCCUUGGUGUUGGGUGAAUUGACAUUGUGUAUACAUGAUGAGGUUCCAUAGUGUAUGUUAUUUGCAAAUGAUAUAGUACUGAUUGAUGAGACAUGUGAUGGAGUUAAUGCUAGGUUGGAGUGAUGGAGACAAACUCUAGAGUCUAAAGUGUUCAGGUUGAGCAGGACUAAAAUGGAAUAUUUGGAGUAUAAAUAUAAUGACUCGGUCGGUAAUUUUUGAAAAAUUCAUGAAUUUAUCAUUUUUCCCUCCCAAUAUUGACCUCGAGUCUUCUAUGAUUGAGUUUAGAAAAUUUGGUUUUGAACUAUGAGUUAAAAGUUGAAAAUUUGGUAAAUUUGUGCUUUUGAAAGGCUAAGUUGUUAAGAAACUGGUUUUCAAUAUCUUUUAGAGUUUCGAGUAUCAAAAUAGAAUUUCGUCAAUUCCACUAGUUUUGGAAUGUGAAAUCUAAUCGGUGAAAGCUGUCGAUUUCUUAUUUUGAGUCUUUAUAACGAUUUGAGGUCCUAAGUUAUGAAAUUGUGGAAUUUUAGCCUUUGGAUUGACUUUGGUCAACAUUCAGGGUUCGAAUGCUUGGAUCGAAUUCCAAGAGUUCCAUUGGAUUUGGGGGAUGAUUUUAGGCCUAGGUGAGGUCUUGGUUGAUUUUUGAGAGGUCUCGAGCUUAUUUUAGCUUUGUUAGGUGUGAGUUAGAUUCUUAUGGUUUUCACAGAUGUCGGGUCAAGAAGACCUCAGAUUCAUAAUUUAAUGGUUCCAUUGAGUCCGGAACGUUGAGUAUAAUGGAUUUUCAUAUAUGGUUUGUGUUCACAGGGUUCCAGACGAAUCCCAAGGGUCCUUUCGGAGUGUUGAAAAUUGGUUGUAUUUUCUAGUGCUCUGGGCUUCACUUUUGUGAAGGUCCUGUCGCUUAAGCGACCUCCACUUAAGUGAAGGACCUCUCACUUAAACUACCUUCGCUUUUGCGAUGCCCAACAAACCCCUUGUCGCUUUUGCGGCAUUUGAGAGGGUUUUUGGCUUGCCAUUUGGGGUUUAAGCCCCAUUUCACCAUUUUUCUAGUUUUGGAAGCUUUGGGAUGGUGUUUUGGACCAGAUUUUUAAGGAAAAACUUUUGGAUUGUGUGGCUUUAGAAGUGAUUCAGGAGGGGAAGACUCAACUCUUUGAGUGAUAUUGAUUGAUUUAAGGCAAGUGAUAUUCUAAAUCUUGUAUUCUAGUAGAAUUUGUUUGCUUCCUUCGUCGCUUGUGUGUUAGGAGUAAUGGGGAUGAGGUGAAGGGUUUAAUUGUCCACUUGUUAUAUCUAAAUGAAUAAAAAAAGGGUUGAAAUGAAAAAUAGUAUGUGAUGAACAUGAUGAUGUGAAUUGCCUUAUUGUGACCCUUGUUGAUUAAUUGAUGAAAUGCUUGAAAGCAUGAAUGUGGACAUGAAUUGUAUAGAUGGUUGUCUCUUUUGUGUGGUGUGAUAUUGCAUGUAUGCAUUGAUUAUGGACACCAUGAUAAGACAUGUGACAAUAUAUACAACCGAUGAGAAAUGGGUUCGGCUAGUGAUAUAAGGCCGAUGGGAAAUGGUUUCAGCUAGUUAAUUGACAUAAAGCCGAUGGGAAAUGGUUCCGACUAGUGAUUUGAUACAAAGUCGAUGGGUAAUAGUUCCAUCUAGUGAUAUUGUGCCGAUAAGAAAUAAUCUUGGCGAGAGGUUGAUCAUUGUGACUUGAUGCUUUUGAUGCUUAUGUGAGACUUACUUUUUAAUUGUGAUUAAUGUACUUGUGCGUGUAACUGAAAUACUUGACAUUGAGAUUGAGUUAUUUGAUUUGGUUGAUUGUUGAAUUGUGAAGAUUGAACUGUGAAUAUUGGGCCUUGUAAGCCAUGUAUUGUAGAAUUGCUAGGUUGGACUAAUUUUUGUGCAGGUUGUAGUUUGACGAGGUUCGAUUGGAGUGUAAUGGGUAUUUAUUUUCUAGCUAUAUGCCUUGUGUUCUAGGUUGCUUGUUGUGUACCGUAUUUUUUAUACUCACCCUUUAUUUAACACUUGUGUAGGUUCCGAACCCGAACCCAUGUGAUCUUCUUCUUUUUCUCCUGACAGUCGAGGCUCGUUGAAGGACUUGAAAGGUAGCUGCUUGUCAUCCUGGCGAACCCUCUUUUCCUUUUCUUUAAGCUUUACUCUAUUUUAGAAACAAAGACUGAGACUUUUAUUUUUCUUUCGAAUUCUGUAUUUUCAUUAGUGGCAUGUACACGUGACUACCAGGUUUUAAGGUAUUGUUUAGAAUGAAUAAGUUUUCCGCCUUUGUCUUGUUCUUACUUUAUAAUUCCGCAUUUCUUUCAUUUUCAUCGGGUUAAGGCUAACUUGUCUUGAUAGGAAUAAACAAGUGUCAUCGUAUGUAUAUUUAGGUUAUGUCAAAUGGUAAUAGAUCCCAGGCUCAUAGGUCUCAACUGUGUACAUGCCAAGUCUAAGUAGAGUCUUGAGGAUCGGUAUAGAGACGAUUGUACUUAUCUUUAAGAGGCUUAAAAGAUUAUUAGUAAACUUCCUUUUAUUCAUCCUUUCUUAUCGUGCGUGGUUACCUUCUCUAGUGUUGAGUUGCUGCAUGUUGUUUUGGCAGAUGCCAAGGACUAGAGCUUUUGUUUCCAGUGGUAAAGGGGAGGCGGUCCCGGAUCCUGUUAUUGAGACCCCAGCUAGGGGUAGAGGUAGGACCCAAGCAAGAGGUCGUCUCGUUGAGUAGCACCGGCUAAAGGUCAUACUUGUGAAGCGGCACCAGCCAGAGAUCGAGCUAGGGGGAUUCUCUUGAGCCACAAGUAGAGGUUGUUGAGGACGAGGUUCCUCUCGAGUUUGGAGCUCCUUUGUUUUAGGAGACUUUGUUGAGGAUGAUAGGUGUGUUAGAGAACCUCUCUUAGGGUAGUGUAACAAGUACGCCACAAGAUGCUUAGACGAGGGUAGAGGCACAGACCGCAAGUCAGUUGACUCCGGGUACUCAUGAUCAGGUGGGCAGCCACUAGUGUUUCCUGCACCGGCUGUUGGUGCACAAAUUACUCCCAAUGUUAUUAUGACAGCAACUGAUCAACAAUGUUAUGAAAGUUUCAGAAAAUGAAACCACCCUAGUUUUAGGGUUGAAAGAGAAAGGAUGCUCAUGAGUUCUUGACCUUGUCCAUGAGGUGUUUGACGCAGUAGGUAUGGUGGAUGUUUGUGGUGUUUGGUUUAUUGUACUUUAGCUUCGUGGUGGCGCUAGAGAGUGGUGGAGUACUUUUGUGAGGUCUAGACUAGUUGGAUCUCCUUAGGCAGAGUGGGAUGUGUUUUUUAGUACUUUCCAAGAUUGUUUCAUUUGUUAGAGCGUAAGAGAAGAGAGUAUUCUGAGGUUUGAGAUCUUCACUCAGGGCGGUUUGUCUAUGACUUAGUAUGAGGACCGUUUCUGUGAGCUUUCUAGGCAUAUUAUGACUAUUGUUCCGGAUGAGGCAGAGAGAGUUCACAGGUUUGUGAGAGGGUUGACUUUCUCCAUUAGAUCUUAUAUGUUCAAAGCAGCUAGAGAUGGGGCUUUCUUCCAGUCUAUUGUGAGCACCGCCAAGGAGGAGUGGAUGGUUUUAGAGGAUUUUAGGGAUCCGAAGAGGGACCAUUCUUUUGGUCAGUUUUCUGGUGCCUCAUUCAGAGGUAGAAGUUUGCAUAUAGGUGGUAGUUCCUUUCAAUAUCGUGGACUAGUUAAUGCUUCUAUGCCAGCAGUUGAGAGUGGGCAGUCAGCCCAAGGACCUUAUGGUUCUUUCCGAGGUGGUCAUUGUAGUUCUUCUGGUUUGCAGGAGCAGUUAUCUGUGCCGAGAUUUUAUUAUACUUGUGGAGAUCCAAGUCAUAUGAUGCGACAAUGUCCUCUUCAGACUCAUUCAGGACCUCAACGUUCUUAUUCAGCUGCUCCAACUAGGGAUUCAGUGCCUCCAGCCCGGGGUUGAGGCAUAGUUUAGUCCGGUAGAGGCGGCAAGACUUUUGUUAGGGGUACUCCAACUCCGCAAGGUGGAGGUAGAAGUUCUACUCAAACUGCAAGCGGUCAUGAGGGCCAGUAUUAUGCUUUUACAAGGAGCUCUGAGAUUUUUGAUGUUAUGAUAACAGGUAUUGUCUCAGUUUGUCAUCGACCUAUGUCUGUAUUGUUUGAUCUGAGAUCUACUUUCUCAUAUGUGUCUACCUAUUUUGCUGUUUGAUUUGAUAUGUUCUUUGAUUGCAUGUCUGUGCUUAUUCAUGUUUCUACACCGGUGGGUGAAUCCAUAGUGGUGGAUCAAGUGUAUCGAUCGUGCCUUGUUUCUUUGGUUGGGUAUGAUACUUGGGUAGAAUUGAUAAUUAUGGAGAUGAUAGACUUUGACAUUAUCUUGGGUAUGGAUUGGCUCUCUCUGCAUCAUGUUAUUCUUGAUUGUUAUGCUAAGACUGUGACCUUAGCAAUGUCGGGUUUCUCAGAGUUGAGUGGACGGGUACUAGUGGUUCUUACCAUAAAAAAGUUAUCUCUUUCAUUAUAGCUCAAAUAUUGGUUAAUAAAGGGUGUUUUUCUUACUUGGCAUUCAUUCGGGAUACUAGUACAGAGCCAUCUCCCAUGGAUUCUGCGCCCGUGGUUCGAUAGUUUGUAAAUGUGUUUCCUACUGAUCUCCCAAGUGUUCCUCCAGAUAGGAAUAUUGAUUUUGUCAUUGACUUGGAGCCGGGCACCAAGCCCAUCUUUAUUCCUCCUUAUCGCAUGGCUCAAGCUGAGUUGAAGAAAUUUAAGGACCAGUUGUAGGAUUUGUUGAGUAAGGGGUUUAUUUGCCUUAGUUUUUCUCCAUAAGGUGCUCCUGUAUUAUUUUUGAGGAAGAAUGAUAGAUCCAUAAAGAUGUGUAUUGAUUAUGGACAAUUGAACAAAGUGACAUAAGGUGCUCAUGUAUUAUUUUUUAGGAAGAAUGAUGGAUCCAUAAAGAUGUGUAUUGAUUAUGGACAAUUGAACAAAGUGACAGUGAAGAAUAAGUAUCCUCUUCCUCGUAUUGAUGAUUUGUUUGAUGAACUUCAAGGUGCAUCUCUGUUUUCUAAGAUUGAUUUGAGAUCCAGUUAUCACAAGCUGAAGAUUAGGGCAUUGGAUAUCCCUAAGAAAGAUUUCAAGAUUCGUUACGGGAACUAUGGGUUUCUUGUGACAUAUUUUGAUUUGACUAACGCCCCUGCAGCAUUUAUGGAGUUGAUAAACGGGGUGUUUCGACCUUAUCUAGAUUCCUUUGUAAUAGUGUUCAUUGACGAUAUCUUGGUGUACUCCAAGACUGAGGCAUAUCACGAUCGGCAUUUGAGAAUUGUACUCCAGAGAUUGAGGGAAUAAAAGCUUUAUGCUAAGUUUUCAAAGUGUGAGUUUCGGCUUGAUUCUGUAGAAUUUUUUGGACAUGUGGUGUCCAAUGAAGGUAUUUGUGAAGAUCCAGCCAAGAUUGAGGCAAUGAGGGGUUGGACCAGAUCUACAUCGGUUACUGAGAUCUAGAGUUUUAUGGGACUUGCGGGCUAUUACCAAUGACUUGUUCAGAGUUUCUCUAUCAUUGCAUCCCCUUUGCUUAGACUGACUCAGCAUAGUGUGAGUUUCCAUUGGUCUGAUGAGUGUGAGGAGAUUUUUCAAAAGCUCAAGACUUUGUUGACGUCGGCUCCUCUUUUGACUUUACUUGAGGAGGGUGUGAACUUCACUGUGUACUGUGAUGUUUCUAGAGUUGGAUUAGGUGGCGUUCUUAUGUAAAAAUGCAAGGUGAAAUCCUAUGCCUCUAGACAAUCGAAGACACAUAAGAGGAAUUACCCUACCCAUAAUUUGAAGUUAGUAGUCAUAGUGUUUGUGUUUAAACUAUGGCGGUAUUAUCUGUAUGGAGCUCAUUGUGAGGUCUUCACAUACCAUCAGAGUCUUCAGUAUAUCUUCGAUCCGAGAGAUCUGAACUUGAGGCAGCACAAAUGACUUGAGAUAUUGAAGGACUAUGACAUCACCAUCUUGUAUACUCCAGGGAAGGCCAAUGUGGUGGCCGAUGCUUUGAGUAGGAAGAUUUCUAGCACGAGAAGUCUUUCCUCUAUUACUGUGGAGGAGACACCAUUGGCUAGAGUUUAGAGAUUGGCCAACAGUUUUGUCCGUUUAUAGAUUUUUGAGGAGAUAAGUGGUUUUAUUACUUCUAUUGAGGCUCAUUCUUCCUUAGUUGAGCAGAUUUGUGAGCACUAGUUUGAUGACAAGUUGUGUCUUAUUUGAGACAAGGUAAUGAGAGGGGAAGCCAAGGAGGUUGUCCUUGAUUCUGAUGGUCUCUUGCGGAUAAGAGGCAUAAUUUAUUUGUCCAAAGUGGGCGAUUUGAUUAGACUGAUUCUUACAGAGACCCAUUGUUCCUGAUAUUCCAUCUAUAUGGGUGCAGUGUAGAUGUGUCAUGACCUGAGAAAGCACUAUUAGUGGUGUGGAGUGAAGAGGGAUAUUGCAUAUUUCGUUUCGAGGUGUUUGACUUGUCAACAUGUCAAGUAUGAGAACUAGCGGCCUGAAUGUUUAUUUUAGAGGAUGUUUAUUCUUACUUGAAAGUGGGAGUGGAUCACAAUGGACUUUAUUGUGGGACUACCUACCACCGUGGGUGGUUAUGACUCAAUUUGGGUGGUUGUUGAUAGGUUGACCAAGUCCGCCCAUUUCAUCCUAGUUUGGGUGAAGUAUACAAUGGAGAAGUUAGCCGAGCUUUAUAUCAGUUAGAUUGUGCGAUUGCAUGGAGUCUCAAUUUCUAUUGUCUCUGAUCGAGCUUCAUUGUUUUCUUCCCAUUUUUGAAAGGUUUUGUAGCAUGGUUUGGGUACUCGGUUAGAUAUAAGUACAACAUUUCAUCCUUUAACAGAUGGCCAGUCCGAGCGGACGAUUCAGGUAUUGGAGGACAUACUUCGAGCUUAUGUGAUUGAUUUCGGUGCUAGAUGGGAUCGACAUUUACCCUUAAGAGAGUUUGACUACAACAACAGUUAUCAUUCCAGUAAUCAAAUGGCCCAUUUCAAAGCGUUGUAUGGUAGAUGGUGUAGAUCUCUGGUCAGAUGGUUUAAUUUAAUGGAUUAAUUCAAUACAUACUUGCUUAGAGAUGCUAUAGAUCAAAUUUGUAUGAUCCAGGUAGACUGUUAACAGUCCAGAGUCGACAGAAGAGUUAUGCAUAUUGGAGAGUUCGAGCUCUAGUAUUUAUGGAGGGUUAUCAUAUUUGGCUCUGAGUGCCACCUAUGAAGGGUGUGAUGAGGUUCAGACUCUUUGAGAUUUUGAGUCGUGUGGGAGAGGUGUCCUAUAAGUUGGCCUUACCACCUAGCUUGUCAGUUGUGCAUCUCGUGUUUCAUGUUUACAUGCUUCGAAAGUACGUGCCGGAUGAGUCACAUGUACUUUCCCUUGAUUCAGUUGAGUUGGGUCCAAACUUAUCUUUUGAGGAGGAGCAUAUAGCCAUUUUUGAUAGGCAGGUCAGGAAACUUAGGACCAAAGAGAUUGCUUCAGCGAAGGUGCACUGAAAGCAUCGUUUAGUCGUUGAGGCGACUUGGGAGACAAAGUUUGAUAUGAGUGCCAAAUAUCCUCAGCUUUUCAAAGCUCUAGGUAUUUCCUUUUGCUUUAUGUUGACGAACAUGGUUUUUACUGGUGGAUAAUGUAAAGACCCGGUCGGUCAUUUUAAAAAAGUUUUGUGAAUUUAUCAUUUUACCCUCCCAAUAUGGACCCUGAGUCUCGUAUGAUUGAGUUUUGAAAAGUUGAUUUUGAACUUUGAGUUAAAAGUUGAGAAUUUGGUAAAUUUGUGCUUUUAGAAGGUUAAGUUGUUAAGAAAGUGAUUUUCAGUGUCUUUUGGAGUUUUGAGUAUCAAAAUAGCUCUGUCGAUUCCACCAGUCUCGGAAUGUAAUCUAAUGCGUGAGAGUUGUCAGUUUCUGCUUUCGAGUCUUUUUAAGGAUUUGAGGUCUUAAGUUGUGAAAUUGUGGAAUUAUAGCUUUGGGUUGACUUUGAUCAAUGUUUGAGGUUCAGAUACUUAGAUCGGAAUUUCAAGAGUUUCAUUAGAUUUGGGGGAUGAUUUUAGGCCUCGAUGAGGUCUUGGUUGAUUGUUGAGAAGUCCCGAGCUUGUUUUAGCCUUAUUAGGUGUGAGUUAGUUUCUUGUGAUUUUCACAAAUGUCAGGUCAAGGAGACCUCAGAUUCGUGAUUUGACGGUCCAUUGAGUCCAGAAUGUUGAGUAGAGUUGUUUUACAUAUGUGGUUUGUGUUCACAGGGUUCAAAAAUCCCGACAGUCCUUGCGGAGUGUUGAAAAUUGGUUGUGUUUUCUGGUGCUGCAGGCUUCGCUUUUGCGAAGGUCCUGUCGCUUAAGAAACUUCCACUUAAGCGAAGAACCUGUCGCUUAAGCGACCUUCGCUUUUGCGAAGGAGGAUUAGCUUUUACGAUGCUUGCGUUUUUAGCAGCGAACCCUUGGUCGCUUUUGCGACAUCUAAGAGGGUUUUUUGCCUACAAUUUUUUAAGGUCCAUUUCACCGUUUUUUAGUUUUGGGAGCUUUGGAGUUGCGAUUUGGACUAAAUUUUUAAGGAAAAGUUUUUAGAUUGUGUGGCUUUAGAAGUUAUUCAGAAGGGGAAGACUCCACUCUUGGAGUGAUAUUGAUUGAUUUAAGGCAAGUGAUCUCCUAAACCUUGUAUUCUAGUAGAAUUCAUGUGCUUCCUUUGUUGCUUGUGUGUUGGGAGUAAUGAGGAUGAGGUGAAGGGCUUAAUUAUCCACUUCUUACAUCUAAAUGAAUAAAAAAGGGGUUGAAAUGAAAAAUGUUAUGUGAUGAACAUGAUGAUAUGAAUUGCCUUAUUGUGACCCUUGUUGAUUGUUUGAUGAAAUGCUUGAAAGCAUAAAUGUGGUCUUAAAUUGUGUGAAUGGUUGUUUCUUCCGUGUGGUGUGAUAUUGCUUGUAUGCAUUGAUUGUGAAUACCGUGAUGAGACAUGUGACGAUUUAUACAGCUGAUGGGAAAUGGUUUUGGCUAGUGAUAUAAAGUCGAUGGGAAAUGGUUUCGGCUAGGGAUUUGACAUAAAGCCGAUGGGAAAUGGUUCCGACUAGUGAUAUAAAGUCGUUGGGAAAUAGUUACGGCUAGUGAUAUAAAACCGAUGUAAAAUGAUUCCGGCUAGUGAUUUGAUAUAAAGCAGAUGAGAAAUGGUUCCGGCUAGUGAUAUUAUGCCGAUGGGAAAUGAUUCCGGGGAGAGGUUGAUCAUUGUGACCUGAUACUUUUGAUGUUUAUGUGUGACUUACUUGUUAAUUGUUAUAUUGAUGUACUUGUAGGUGUAACUGAACUACUUGACAUUAUGAUUGAGUUAUUUGAUUUGGUUGAUUGUUGAAUUGUGAAGAUUGAACUGUGAAUAUUGGGUCUUGUGAGCCGUGUAUUGUAGAAUUGCUAGGUUGAGCUGAUUUCUGUGCAGGUUAUAGUUUGAGGAGGUUUGGUAGGAGUGUAAGGGGAUACGUUUUCUAGCUAGAUGCCUUGUUUUCUAGGUUUUUGUUGGGUACCGUGUUGUUGGCACUCACCUUUUGUUUCUACACGUGUGUAGGUUCUACACCCGGACCCAUGUGAUUUUCUUCUUUUUCUCCUGACAGUCGAGGCUCGUUGAAGAACUUGAGAGGUAGCUGUUUGUCAUCCUGGCGACCUUCUUUUCUUUUACUUUAAGCUUUGUUCUACUUAAUAAACAGAGACUUAGACUUAUAUUUAACUUUCGAAUUAUGUAUUUUCAUUAGUCGCUUGUACACGUGACUACCAGGUUUUGGGGUAUUGUUUCGAAUGAAUAAGUUUGUCGUCUUUGUCUUGUUCUUGCUUUAUAUUUCCGCAUUUCAGUCGUUUUCAUCGGGUUGAGGCUGACUUGUCUUUGUGGGAAUAGACAAGUGUCAUCACGUUCAUUUUUGGGUCGUGUAAAUAAAUGCAGCACUACAGUUCAUGAAGAUAGCAUAGAGCGUAGAAGUGAGGGUUGACACUAAGAGAGAUAAUUUCAUGUAUCUUAGAUUGGUAAUCCAGAGAAUUGAGAACAUCGAUGAUGAUGUCACUCAAUGUAUUCACUGCAAGAAAAGUGUGGAUUACUUGGGAAUUUUCCAAGGGAUUGUAUACGAAAAUAAGUUUCUUGCGAAUUUUCUUGCCAAAAAGAAUCUGAAGGUAAAAUCUUCGUAGGUAAUUAUUUCCUGAGAAUUUCAAAAUCCCCAAGUAAAGCCGCAUAAAGAUAAUCUAAUAUUUUUUACUAAAAAUAUCCGAAACUAUUUCGAUAAAAAUUAACAAAAUAAGAAUUUUCAUACCAUUUUUUCCGCAAGUAAAGCGGCAUGAAGAUAUUCUAAUAUUUUAAAAGAAAUUUCUUGUAAGGAAAUAUUAAUUAUUAUCUCCCAAUUAAUUAUUUAAUUUAUUAUUAAACCCCAUACACAUAUACACCUCUUCUUGAUUACUUGUAUUUAAUACAAUUUUCUACCUAUAUUAAUUAUUAUCUCCUAAUUAAUUAUUUAAUUUAUUAAACCCCAUAUACAUAUACACCUCUUCUUGAUUACUUGUAUUUAAUACAAUUUUCCACCUAUAUUAAUUGCACAACUUAAUCCCAACCCACUACCCAAUGCCCAACCUAUACUAAUUGCUACAUUCUCACAAUAAUCUAAAGUCAUAACAUUAUAUAUGAAAAAAAUUUAGUGUAUUCCAUCAAUGUGGUACAAAUAGUACUAAUGUCAUUACACUAAUUUUUAGUUUUUUUUCUCCGAUUUGAUUAAUUUUUAAAGCUAAAUUUAAUUAAAUUAAUUGAGUAUUAAAAUAUAAUUUAAUAUUUACAAAUUACGUACACAAAAAUAACUAUAAAGUCAUCUCAUAUUAAUAUGGUAACGAAAUAUAUCUUGAAAUAUUGGCUAAAGUUCAUGUGUUUUGACUCUUAAAAACUGAAACAUAGAAAUUAUUUAUAUUUAAAAUAAAUCACUACCACACAACAUAUCAUGAAAAAUUUAUGCUUACACUUUCUAUGAGAUAAUAUCCAUAACUAAGCAUAUUAAACGUAGACAAAAUUUAAAUUAUACAUACAAAGUUCUUAUAAAUAAAUAAUUAAAAAUAUAAAAUAUUUGUAACUUUAAUGUGGAAGGAAGUUAUAAUCAAUGAUUGAUAGUAUAUUUUAUUAGGUAUGUGCGGUAUUUUUAAUUUAAAUUUAUAUUUUAAUAAUUAUAUUUUAAAAUACUUAAUUAUAUAUUGGGAAAUAUAUAUCAUUUAAUAACUCACUAUCGAGAAAUUAUAUUAGUUUUAAUGCUUGUAAAAAAAUAAUAUAUCAAUUGAUAUACACGUAAAAAUUAUUUAUUUAUUAUUUUAUAUAAUUCUAUUAACGAGGGGUAGUUAAACUUCACAUUAACAAGGUAUAUAAUCGAAUUUGUUUCUACUUAAAAUAGUGCUUAACUUAUUCAAUAAUACACAAUUUACUAUUAAAUAAUAUUAAAUCAAAAUUAGUUAUAAUUAUGAUAGUUACUUUCCAUAUAAUUUCAAUUCUUUGUAUCUUUCAAAUGGUAUCAUUUGUUUUUGGUGAGAUUAAAUAUUAAUUAUGUGUUAGUUAAAAAUGUUGAUCAUGGCAUUUGUGGUAAUGUUCCAACACCGUAUUAAAUUGAUAUUAUUGUAUAAUAAUUUAUUUAAUCUAAAAGUAUAGUAAAUAUUUAAUAAUAAAAUUUAUUCUAGUGUCAUUGUCAUUUUUUAUAUUAUUAUAAUUUUUAAUUUUGGUAAAUAUAUUUUUAAGAAAAUAUUUCUUGAGCACUUCAAAUUUUUAAAUAUCCUUAGAUUUCAAAAAAAAGUUCCAAUUAAAUUGUAAUAAAAAAAAUCAAGUAUGCACAAUUCCAAGAAAAUCCCUCAAAAUACCUCAAAGCAAAUUCACAAAAUUCCCAAGUAAAGCUCUAAGAAAUAAAUCCCCAACAAAAUUUGUAGAACAUGAAUCUCCGGGUAAUAUCACAUAUAAAAAUUUUGUAGAUAAAUUCCCUAAUAAUUAUUCCUAACUAAAUCUGCAAAUCAAUUUAUCUAGAAAUUUUCUUGCAAAAAAUAAAAAUAAAAAAACCUUUUUUUUCAUAACUUGUGAAUUUAUCUAUGAAAACGAUACUUGCAAACUAUUUGCCCUAAAUAAUUCUGCAAGUAAUAAUUUUGUAAAAAUGGUGCCAAAUUUACUUACCAAUUUUUCUGGGAAAAUAUUUUCCGCAUGUAAAACAAUCUAGAAUUUAGGAAUUUCAUAUUUCUGCAUGAAAAUUCGUGAGAAAUUUCUGCGGAAAUAAUCCCCAAAUAAAAUUCGUAGGUAAUUUACAAUUUUCUAGUAGUGAUUGGUGCAUCGUGGAUGAAGUGAAGGCUUGCCUCCAGAGUCUUGUGUGAUAAAGGGUACCACCUAAACUUAAAAGUAAGUCUUACAGAGUAGUGGUUAGACUGAGUUGUUGUAUGGUACAAAGUGUUGGUGAGUCAAGAAUUUCUAUGUUCAGUAGAUACAAGUCGCAAAAAUGAGGAUGUAAAGAUGGAUGUGUGGGAACACUAUGCGAGAUAAGAUUAGGAAUGAGGAUAUCUGGAACAUGGUGGAGUGACUUCUGUGGCGGACAAGAUAAAGGAAGGAAGAAUAAGAUGAUUUAGACAUGUAAAGAAGAGAUGCGCGGAUGUCCCUAUGAGAAGGUGUGAGAGGCUAGAUAUAACGGGUACGAUGAGAGGUAGAUGUAGAUAAAAAAAUAUUAGAGAGAUAUGAUUAAAUGGAACAUGGCACAACACCAUAUUAUAGGGGGCAUGACCUUAGAUAGGGGGUAUACAUGUCGCGUAUUAGAGUAGAAGGUUAGUAGGUUGGAGUGUUGUCUUGAUUUUUGAGGGGCACAACCGUUUUCUUAUAGUGUCUUGCUUUUGAUUCCACCAUCACUUAUUGUUGAUUGUGUUUAGGUUAUCACAUUAUUUUGUGAUUGUUAUUAUUUUCUUAUUAGUUGUUUUGUUUCUCCAGUGUUGUUUCUCUCUUCAUUAUUCGGAUAUGUUAUAUUCGAGCCUAGGGUCCUCCGGAAAUAGUCUUUUUACCUCCACGAGGUAGAGGUAUGGUCUGCAAACCCUCCCACACUCCACUUGUGGGAUUUUAGUGUGUAUAUUGUUGUUGUUAUUGUUGUAUUUUGUAUACAAUAUUUUAUGCAUAAUCCAUAUACUAAUUAAUAUAUAUUUGUAUAUAACUUAAGUUAAAAAAAUCAAGUAAAUCAGUUUGUAUACCAUAUUAUAUAUCCAUUUCAUAAACUAAUAUAUGUUAUAAAUCUCUUAGUUGCUAAAGAAUAGAAAGCUCUUUGUUAUGAAGAAUCAGAGAAAAAUUAGGGUCUAAAGCAUAUAGGGAUUGGCUGCAGGCGACACCCUAUAGCUAUAAUAUUAUGCGUGUGUAGAUAGAUCCUUGACAACAUAGUGAAAGUUGAAAUAAAUAUGACAUAUAACUUUGAUGGUCAUCACUCAUCACAGGGGUGUCCAAAUAAUAUUUUGUUUAUAUAUAUAUUGUAAUAUAGGACCUUAAAUAUAUGUGGUGUAAUUUUAGGAGAGUUACUCGGAAAGCAAAUAUAUACUAAUUAAUUAGCUAACAUAGCUAUAUUUUGAGUUAAUUACGGCUCACAACUUAAUUUUAGCUAUAUUUUCGUUACCUCUCUCCUCUCUUUCUCUCUUGCCUCUCUCCUCUUUUAUAUAAAUUAUACAUAUAAAUAUACAAUUAUAUGACAUAUAUACAAAUACAAUUAGCUUCUCUCCACUCUCUUCCCUCUCUCGCUCGCCUCUUUCCUCCCUUUCCCAAUCUCGCUCGCCUCUCUCCUCUCUCCUCUCUCCUCUCUCUCAAUCUCGCUCGCCAGAUAUACAAAUACAUAUGUAUACCAAUUACAUUUAUAUCUCUCCCCACUCUCUGCCCUCUCUCGCUCGUCUCUGUCCUCUCUCUUCCAUGUAAUAUUUGCUUUGGGAAAUAUGGUCAAGGAUGAGGCCAAUCCAUUACAAGAGCACAAUGCUGAAAAGAAAAGAAUGGCCCAUCAAGCCCAAAUGACCACGUGAAAACAAACUGAAAUGACAGCCUUCAAACAAUAUUUUUCAUUUUUACAUUUUUAUAUGGAAACUACAACAUGGCCAGCUGUAAGCAACAUUAAGGGCAAUAUUAUGGAAAAUAACUAAAUUAUCUGUUUGACCAGUCAAAGCAAACAUUUGGGAGCACAUUUUCUACUCAAUUGUCAGUCCAUUUUCUACUCAAUUUUACUACUUCCUCCGUCCCUAUUUGUUAACGAUAAAACCCAUAUUUUAAACUUUAUAUCUCUAUAUGUAAUAUGUAAAUAAAAACUAAGACUAAAUAUUUAGAUGGCACCUUAAACAUAAACUUGACAUGCAACUUCAAUAAGAUAGCUACUCAAAUUUAAUAGAGGUGUGUAUCUUUCAAACAUAAGUGUCAUAUAUGAUAAAUUAUGCGUGUUAAAGUUAAUUUUGAAUAUAUAAAUAUUUAUUUUACUCUUAUUUUCUUACUUUAUAUAUACAAAUUCCUCUAAUAUUUCAAUCGUUCUUCUUCACAUCUCCAAUAAGUAUAAGGCGAGAAUUAAAUUUCAAAAUAUAGACAAUAUAUUUGAUUUGAUUUUAUUAAAAAUAAAUUGAAGAAAAUCGACAAUUUAUAUACAUAAUUUUAUAAUUAUAUUUAACGCAUGAGAAUCAAUCAUAUUUCACGUAUUUGGUCUCACGUAUACAGGUGAUUAAACCACACAAUUUUGUAAAAUUUAAAUAUUUAUAUGAUCACUAAUUAUGUUUGAAUGACUUUAAUCUUAUAGAACGUGAAGAGAGUACAUAGCCUAAAAACAACUAAAAAUAUGUAAUAAAUAUAAAGAACCGAAACCACAAGUGAACUAUCAAAACCUAUUAUAUUUAGAAAUUCUUUAAAAGAAAUAUGUAGGUUAGUUUUCAAUCAACUAUUAGGAGUUGUUUUGUAGAGUAUAUUAGAAGAAUAAUACAUGUAUUAACUUUGUAUAUUAGUAGUAUUUUAUUUGGUACACUAUUUUAUUCUAUAAGCAUUAGUUAUACAUUAUAUUGUGUAUUGAGGAGUGUAUUAUUAAUACAUGAAAAUUCAUAGUAUUGAUAAUGUAAGGGAAUUUAAUGCAUGUACUAGCAUAAUUAAAGACCAAUUGCCUCCUAAAAUUCUUUUCUAUAUUUUUUUUUCCAUCAUAUUUGUUGAGGAUAUCUUGGAAAUAAGUAUUAUUAUUUUAUUUUUUUAAAUGCAAUACAAUACAUGCUUGAUACACCAAACCAAGCAAUAUAUAACAAGUAAUACAAACACUAUUAAUAUACCCUAUUUAACAUUACUCUUAUACAUCCUACUAAACAAUUCGACCAGAAAGAAACUAAAAAAAAUGAUGUAAGUAAAGAUGGAGUGGAUAGUGAUGUUUGUGGGUGUAGACUAGACAGAGUGACAGUGGAGAGGAAUAAUGGAGCAUGGCAAUUAGGAGGAGGCCUCACAAAGGGGUCAUUUUGUGCUAGCUGGAUACCCUCUUCCUCUUAGUUGGCAUUCAAUUUUACUCAUCCCUUUUUCAAAGUUGCAUCUUUUAUUUUAAUAGAUAAAAAGUGGACAAGUAUCGUAAAUAUUUUUAAAUUUAGUGCAAAUUAUUAGUUUUGUUUUUGAAGUAUUGAUAGUUUUAAUAAUACAUCUCUUUACUUGAUUAACUAAACUUAGCAAGUGAUCUCAAACUUUUGUAAAAGAAUGAAAACUUUUAAUAAAAAGUUGAAAGAAGUAUUGAAAACACUCCCGAGAAUUUAAGAGUGUAUUUCACUCAUGCUACAAGAUCGAAAAUAUAUUUAAGUUUAGUUAAUCAAAUAAAGGAAUAUUUUUAAGAUUAUCAAUAGUUUAAAGACAUGGUUUAAGGAGACGAGUGAUUCAAGUUCAGAUAGUUUGGCUAAGCCGACGAGAGAGAUGGAAAGAAUGGAUCGAUCUCCUUCUUCCUAAAUAUCUUAACAUUUGAAAGAUAAAACUAAUAAUUUCUUUAAAUGUAAGAUUGUUUUCAAUACUUUUCUGAAAAUAACCGAACGAAUGACAUGCCAUUUGAGUCGGUGCAAAAACCUGCUUGCUUUAUCAGAGUAGUAUGGCAAAUGUGAUCCGAUUCAUAUAUCUUUAACCGGAGAUUUUGAGUUUGGAGAUGAGGUAAUAAGAUGUUUAGGAGGAUAGAGCUGUCAAAGCUCGUGCUAGCAAGAAAUGAUGGUCACGUCGUGGGCAGGUGUGGGAAUAUUAAAACGAAUUUCUACCAAAAAUAAAAAUAUAUUUAUUUUUUAUAUUUUAUAUUUUAUAUUUUAAUAAAAUAAAACUGAAAUUACCCUCAUCACGUGCAGCUGACGAGACCUUUGCCCAGUACUGGUCACGUGCCUUACAGAAGCACUUCUCCCUUAACACUUGUCUCUAUGCUGUUUUUUUCGGUUUCAUUCGAUUUUUUUAAGUAGGCGUUUGGACAUGCGAUUUUAUAUCACGAUAUAAAAUUAGUGUUUUGAUAUGUGAUUUUACGUUGAUCUCAUUCAAUGAUUUCAUAUCGUGAGAUAAAAUUUCAAAUUCUUCAAAAAAUUAUGAUCUGAAAAUUUCAAAUCAUGAUUUGGGAUUUUUCAAAUACAAAAAUUAACCCACAAAUUUAUAUUUUGUAAAAAUAACCCCACAUAUAUGUCCACUAACCAUUUAUUUAAUAUGUAUUUAAAAUUUAUAAUUCAUAUCAUUACUUUUUAAAUCAUUUACAUCUCAUACUAUGAUUAUUCUCAUUAACAUAUAAUUUACUAUUACUUCAAAUCAAUUUCUACUUUACCAUUUAUAUUCACCAAAUUCGUUAUUUUUUUUAAAAUUUAUUUACCAACAAAUGGCUCAAAGUAACAAUGUUGGUUCGUCUUCUUAGUCAUAUAUAUGAAUGAGAAAUGCAAGUUCAACGUGAGAAGAUAGAGUGUAUUAUGUGGGAGGACUAUAUUAAAACUAGUACACCACAACUUAUAUAUGUUUAAUUUAAUUUUUUUAUUGAAUUAUAGGUUGAUCAAUAAAUAUUUUAUUUUUGAAGAAUAUCUUUCUGAUAAGAAUAUUAUGGGAUUUUGUUAACUUUUGCUUAUUUGGUAAGAUUGUAUAAAAAAAAUGGAAUAAUUUUAAUAAUUUUACAACUUAUGAGAUUUUUAUGUUUAUGAGAAAACAUACAACAUGAAAAAUCCAAAUCGCAUGUCCAAACAAAACUUUGUCUCAUGAUUUCAUAUCGCAUGGCCAAACAGGCCAUAAGAUUAAUGUAUUUAUAUUUUUGAAUUUAUAUUUGAAUAUUAAGAUAAUAUAUUUAAAUUUAAAUACAAAAUUAUUAAGAUGAUUUAUUUUUUUAAUAUUUAAGUAUCCAUAAUUUAUUUAUUUUUAGAUUAGACAUAAUAAAUAUACAUUAAUCCAAAUAAAGAAUGGUUAUAUAUUAGAAAAAUAUGAAUUUAAUAUGAUAUUAUUAUUUAAUUAAAGAAUAUAUAUUUAUGUUUGCUAGUGAUGGUUAUAAGAGUACUUAUCGAUCGAUUCAAUUUGAUUUAUAUUUUAUUGGUUUGCUUUCUCGUUUAUCGGUUGUAAACAUGUUAAAUCAAUAAGAUAAUUGUGAUCAAUUUUUGGUGAAUCGGCUGACAAUCCUUAACUAUUCAAUUUUUGAUUUAAUCAAUAAAAAAUGUUCCUUUUAAAAAAUUUCCCCUUUCUCUUGUUUUCAUUAGUUGAUAUUAUAUAGUUUUCACAGGGUAUUUAUUGCUAAAACAAACAUCUUGAACUAAUAAUACAAGGUCAAGAAAUAGAUAGAUUAUUUAUGAUCUAGAUAAAACUACUAAAAAGAAGUAUUGUGAAUGACUUGUGUAAAAUUGUACUUCUAAGACACAAAUUCAUAUACUUCCAGGCUCCAGCUAUCUUUUUAGAGUCAAUAGUGCUUAUUAAUUUCAAAUCAAAAGUAGAAAUCUAAAAAAGCCCAGGAGAUAUUCUUCUGCCAUUUAAUUAAUGAGAAAAUAUAAAAAAAUAACAAAAAUAAUAGAUAUAAUAAGGCUCUAUAGUUAUAAUUUUGGUAAUUAUAUUUGCUCUAUAGCUAUAGUUUCAUUUGCUAUGAAGGUUGCGAUUUAUGUAUUUCGCUUGCCCGUUUGUAUAUUUCUCUUGCAAAUAUAAGUAUAUACAAAUGAAGGCUGCAUUUAUAUUGUGAAUAUACAAAUAGGGUAAGUAUAUAUAAAUUUGUAUUUAUACAUUAGAAAAUUUUCAAAUUUUGUUCGUAUAUUUCACUUGCUAAUAUAUAAACAUGGUAAUUUAUUAUAUGAAUUUUUCGUAAAUCAUAAACAAAUAGCUAGGGUAAGCAUAUACAAAUUCUGGAUUUAUACAAUCAGAAAUCAAAUUAUACAGAUUCUGAAUUUAUACAAUUAGGAAACCAAACGCAUAAGGAAAAGACCGAGAGACCCCUGACUUAACUGCUGUCGGGAAUCACUGAUGGACGGGAUUGACAGACCAUGGCUAGACCGAAGGUCCGUGCUGGUCAACCGUCGUUUGUGACUAGAGGUUGGGAUCUGGGGGUCUGAUCCACGGCCCAUGGUCUGACCUAUGGUCCAUGGGUCGACCCUUAGACAAAAUUUUGGGGUUGAGUCUGGGGAGGGUUGCAGAUGCGAACCACGGAUCACCAGCACAGGCCGUGGGUCACCCUACGGUCCGUGGGUUUCACCUACAACUUCUGGAAAUCUGCACUGAGGACUUAUUUCGGAUACGGGGUGUUACAAUGCUUCUCCAAUUUCUUCACCAUUUUCCUUCUAAUCAGUUGCUCGGAUGAUUCUUUUCGUAAUCUUGACUUGUUAAGUCUUCGCCUAGUCACAAGAAUCCAGCAUUCAUCACCAUCUAUAUCAACUUCCUGCUCCAAUGACUCUUCUUCAUGCUUUUAAGAGAUAUAUAUUUAGACUGGAUUGAGUGAGCCGAAUGUGAUAGAGAUCUGGUUAGAACUAGCCUUCUCAUCAUCAAGGACAAUUUCUUUUCGUUAACCAAUCGCAUCACUCUAUCCUUGAAGACAAAACAUUUAUCAAGAGGAUGACUCACAAGUCUAUGAUACUUGCAAUAAUUUGGGUCAUCAGCUUUUCCAGCUUCAUCAGGCCGCUUCAUCUCUGGCAAGUCAAUGAAUUUUAACUCGAGCAACUCAUCAAAAAUCUCAGAAACGUCAGAAUCCAAGAAGGGAUAUUUUUCCCUUGCAUCUCCCUUAGUGUCGACUUUUGAUUUGAACGUGCNNNNNNNNNNNNNNNNNNNNNNNNNNNNNNNNNNNNNNNNNNNNNCUCCAUCUCUUGGGUUCCUGCUUGUCGCUUCCUUUGCGAGGGUCUUGGACAUACGCCAUAUCUUUUCCAGCAGAGGACAUGCUUAACUCCAUAUCAUGAGCGCGAGUAGAUAUAUCUUUGAAGGAUUUUGGUUUUAUUCCUUGUAAGAUGUAAAGAAGCUCCCAGUGCAUCCCUUGGAUACACAUUUCUAUUGCAGAAGCUUCACUAAGCCUAUCCUUGCAAUUCAGGCUCGCGUUCCUCCAACGAUUUAUGAAGUCUAUGGCUGGUUCAUCCUUCCUUUGGCGAUUAUUCGUAAGUUCUACCAUGCGCACAGUACGUCUCGUGCUAUAGAAUCGAUUGAGAAACUCGUGCUCUAGUUGCUCCCAACUAUCAAUAGAAUUGGGAUCAAGAUUCGUGUAUCAAUCAAAGGCAUUUUCUUUUAGAGAGCAGACAAACUGCUUGACAAGAUGGUCUCCAUAUGUUCCAGCAUUAUUACAUGUCUCCACAAAGUGUGCAACAUGUUGCUUCAGAUUUCCUUUACCCUCAAAUUGUUGAAAUUUGGGAGGUUGAUAACCAGCAGGCAUUUUAAAGUUUUCAAUUCUUGCAGUGUAUGGCUUGGCAUACAUAUGAGAUGACUUGGUGGAGACUUCAUACUUAUCUUUGAUUGUGCCUUCAAUAAACUCCUUCAAGCGAUCGAGUGGGAUCAUUCCUUCGAAGAAAUUGGCAUCUCAUUAACAAGCGAUGCUUCUUUGCAGGAUCUCUGAUCUCUUAACCUUCAACACCCUUUCCAGGCGCAUGGCUCGUUUCUCCAUAUAAAAGUCCUUUCAUCCUAUCAAUAAACUUAUCAAUUCGAGACUAUUGGUGUUGUACAUGCUUUGUCAAUCCUUCAACCAACUUCGUCUGAUUGCGAGUUGUUCCUAUGGGAAGAACCAGCAGUCACUAUUGUUUGCAUAAUCAUUGGAGAUUUAGGAGAGUAGUAUGGAUUUUUCGCGUAAGUUAAUCUUCAGCGGACUCACGUUACACGAUGCAUGUGGAGAUGAUUCAUUUGUUAAAUCAUAGUUCUCCCUUGUGAUAGAGUUCGUUGAACCAGAUUGCUCAAGUAGAGCCAAGGUCUUCUUGAUCUUUUCAGCAACACUGAUUCCUCCUUCUAAAGCAUUUGUGGAGGAACUUGAUCUUUUUGGAGUCGCAGACCUAAAAACUGGAGUUGACACGGACGACACUUGAAGUGUUUGUUGUCCUAGCAUAGCAGUCUUGCUCCUCGUAACAGCUCCGAAACUUCCAAAGGUAACNNNNNNNNNNNNNNNNNNNNNNNNNNNNNNNNNNNNNNNNNNNNNNNNNNNNNNNNNNNNNNNNNNNNNNNNNNNNNNNNNNNNNNNNNNNNNNNNNNNNNNNNNNNNNNNNNNNNNNNNNNNNNNNNNNNNNNNNNNNNNNNNNNNNNNNNNNNNNNNNNNNNNNNNNNNNNNNNNNNNNNNNNNNNNNNNNNNNNNNNNNNNNNNNNNNNNNNNNNNNNNNNNNNNNNNNNNNNNNNNNNNNNNNNNGGAAAAUUAUAGCAACAAUCGUAUUUAUUAUUUCAAAGUGCAAGUGUUAUAUUAUCAAUGAUUCCUUUGAAUUCACCUUUUCAAAUAUAAAUUCAAGGGCUCUUAAGCUUAAUCUUGAAUUUGUCUUGAACUUAAUCUAGGAUUCAAGGGCUUUAAAGCUUGUUCUUGAAUCUUUGAUGAACUUGAACUUGAACUUUAUCUUGAUCUUCACUUUUACUUGAAUUCAAGGGCUUCGAGCUUGUUUUUGAAUCCAAUGGUCUUGAUCUUGAUCGUUCUUGAACUUGAAUGCUUGAAUUCUUAAACUUGUAGCUUAUAGAGAAUUUUAUGGCGUUUGUACCACAUACUUUCUCUUGCUUCUUAAUUGUUUAGAAUUUUCGGUCCCUUUUCUGAAUUAUGAGGACCCUUAUUUAUAGCUUUAGAAUAGAGGAGUUGCGAUUGGAACAUGAUUACCUUCGGCCAAUCAGAUUUAAGUGAUGUGGCCUAUGACCUUUAUGGAGCGGGCUUGUCAUCUUUGACACAUGUCAUGAUCCUAUUGGCUUCUUGUUUGACUUGACAUACCACAUCAUUUGUCAUGUGGCACCAAAAGAAUGGGCCUCUAGGAUAAGAUGACAUUGGACUUAGCAAAUUGGGCUCAUCUAUUGUAGCUCAAAUCAAUUAAUUUUGACUUUAAUUAAAACCAUAUUUAUUGGAAUUGAACAAUUAGCCCAAUUAUAUUAAUCCAUAAUUUAUUUGGACUAAUAUAUAUUCAUAAAUUUAAUACUAUCCGAAUCAUUUUAUAAAUUUAUAUUUAACAAAUUUUAAAUGAUUACAGUAAUAACUAAGAGAAUUUAUAAUGUUAUAACUAAAGGAUUAAUGUGCAAUAGAUGCAUUUCUAAUAAAUUUUAUACUUACAUAAAUAAAUAGGACUUUUAAUUAAUGUUACUAUUUUUUCUUAUAGUUAUUAGAUUUUAAUUUAGUGUAGAGGCAAAAUGAAAAUGUUUAUUCCAUAUUACUGAAUAUAAAAUUUAUUUUGUAAUUGGUAAAAAAUUUAAUGAUUCAUAUAUAUUCACAUAUUUUCACUCUUGAAGUUUAAUAAUUUUGAAAAAAGAUGUUGAGAAGCAUAUAUUCACAUCACAAGAGAAAUUGUUAAAAAAAAACAAAUGAAUUUAGACUACAUCAUGUUAACUUCAUAUAUUGAAACAUUACGUACUAUCUAAGCAAAAAAAUAAAUAGAGCGGUCUAAACUUCGACCCUUAUUUCUUUCUUCAUAUUGUAAAGGGGAGCAAAGCCCGUUUUUUGCUCCCUCUAUUGAUAGAAAAAGGGCACUCCUGCCGUCGUUUCAGUGACUCAUAGGGCUUCCCUCAGCGCAGUCUUUUUCGUUCUUGAGAAUGGUCGCCACUUCUACCAGGACCGGAAUGAUUAUCCCUGCCCGAUGGGUCUACAUCCAUCCCUGAAUGUCGUCGGGUACUGUUAACUUCCCCGCCAUUCUUGUAACUGUCACCUGUAAUCCGCGCAGGUGUGUCCGCACCCCCCUGAGUGGACGAGAAAGAAAGGAUUUCUCGGAGCAACCCCCCAGGUUCCAGACCCAGGAGUCAACUUUCCCGUAUGAGCAUUCGGUACAUGUAUCAGUCCGUGGAAGAGUGAAAGGGUCACCACUACUGAGGAUCCCCCCCUAAUCUUAGAUAGGUCGUCUGAGGGUUCGCCGCGGUUCAUUGCUGUGCUUACACACAAGGCUACCCUUUUCCGAAAGCUCCGCAGGACCACCUACCACUAGUCUUCGGCCGGAGGGGUUUAUUGCACAAAAAGGCCGGGGCGCAGGCUCCCGAAGAGAGAAGCCCAACGAAUGUCAGAUGCAAAGCCCCGCACCUCAUUAAGAUCAUAUUGGCAUACUCUCCCAAAAAAGAAAGAGCAGACCCCAUUGAAGACGAGAGUGAGGUACAACAAGGCCAUUUCUGUCCACCGCCCUUCUCACGGAGCCGUACGUGGACGUUACCGCUCAUACAGCUCCCAGCCAGCAAGCAGUUAGCCUUCCUCUACAAGGAAUGGAAGUGUGGAUGAAUCGACAUCAAAUAUAGGAUUGUUGUUGUACACGAUCUCCAUUUUAGUAGUCCUAGCUAUCCACUCCACUAUGUGGUAGAGUGUUCGUCCCAACCCCUUCGCAGGGGUACCUUCCCUUUUAAUUGAGAGAAGGACUCGGAAUUGACUCCCCUCGAUUCGAGAUCCGAAAGAAGGGUAUGGAGUUUAUCCAAGGAAUGCUCUCCCGUGGCGGUACGCGGAUUCUCGAGGGCCCGAGCUCCCCGUCCCAGCCAAUCCCCCGUUGGAUCAAGGACCGCCAUGAUCCUUAGAAUCUCGACCUUGACCUCGAAUAGGUCUUUUGCCUCUAUUUCGGCCAGGUACAUGAUCCCGAUAGGGGGAGUAUAGGAGUAUUUGGCUAGGAGCCUCUGCUGGAUAGACUGAACGGAAUCCCCCCCUAUCACUUCAUCCAGUUGAUACGGAUAGGGGACCACUCGUGGGGGCUGAUUCGAUGGACCAGCUUCGUUCCCCCGGGGAGCUACUUGAAUAGCAGGCGGCACAUGUCCUGGUUCUGGUUCUGGCUGAUCCACCGACGUGCCCGUUUCCGUAGAUUUUUCCCAUGAUUCCAAGAGGACAUCAAUCCCAAAAUGAUCCUCUUCAAACUCAGCCCCGCUUGCUUGCCCGGAAGGGCUCGGAAGAGGAAGUAAUCCCCCGACACUAAAAACAAAAAUCCCAGAGAGAAGCUGAGAACACAAAAUCCCUAAAUGGGAUAGCAAAUAGUUCCUUAGAAAAAAUAUAAAUAAAGAGAUACUAAAUAAAAUAAGAAUAAAAAUAAAUAGAUUAAUAAACCGGUAUUUUCUCUUUGAACGAAAACCAAAAAAUCUCAAAAUAAGGAUCAACCCCAUAAUCACUAAAAGGAACAGCAUGAGACACUUACCAGUUAUUCGAAUUGGCAUUACUCUAACAGCGAAAUGCCCCAGAAAGGUUGCAAUAAGAGAGAGAACGCCUCUAAAGAAAAAAGGUGACAUAAUAGGUCAGAAUUUGUUCUCUCGCUCCUUGCUGGAGGAGCGGCAUACCGGAAAAAAAAGCCCUUCCUCGGAUUCGAACCGAUGACUUUCUUAGCCUAUUUCUAAAGGGCGAACUGAUCAACUUGCAUGUGUUAAGCAUACGACUGAAGUAGCAUGAUUAGACCUUCUUAUCACUUUUUCGACUAGCUAUAAACUUCAACCCCCCUUCUCUUACUUAGAUGGAGAAAUAAGUAAGCAAGACUUUCUACCCUGCCUUUCUUUUCUUAAAAAACUUUCUACCCUGCCUUUCUUUCUUAAAAAAUGGCGAAUUACAUCGAAUUUUGCCUUCAACCAAACCUUUCCGUUCCGAAAUCGAGAAAAUAGUUAAUAAAAUCGUUAAAAAAUUAUUAAUUCAAUAACUCAAUAUCAAUAAAUUAAUAACAUUUUUUAAUUUAAUUUAUUGGUAAUUUGCACACCAUUAUGGUAGAAAUUAUUUGAAGUGGUACGGUGGCCAUAGUGAUGGUUUUUUCAAGUGACUUAUAGUGGUGGUAAAUGAUAGUUGUGGUGGUGGAGAUGGUUAAUGUUAUACUAAUUGACGCAAUAGUGAUAGUUGAUAGUGAUGGUGGUAGUUAUAAUGGUGAUGUAAUUAAUAGUUGAAGAUGUUGGUGGUGGUAGUGACUAAAAGAUGUGUGGUAAUUGAUGGUGAUGUCUAUAGUGAUUGACGGUGAUGUUAGUUGUGAUGAUAAAUGUAAUUGGUAGUAGAAAUUAAUCAUAAUAAUGAUAGUGAUUGAUAAUGAUGAUGGAGGUACAACAGUUAUAAUGUUAAUAGAUAAUUAUAAUGAAGAAUACAAUAUGUAUGAUAGCAACUUACCAUAGUGGUUACAUUAUCUAAAAUGUUUUGUUUUUAGUUUAAUUAUAAAAUCAAAUGACAUCUAUAAGACAGUUUCAUAGCUAGAUGUGGGUGUUUGAAAAAAUGGACUUACAUUAUAUAAUACUAGUAUUCGUAUUCGCGCGUUGCGCGGAUAUUUUUAAAUGUCAUAAUUGUUAAACUAAAAGUAAUUUAUAAAAAAAAUUACUUGUUAAUAUAUUUUUUAAAUAGAUACAAUUUAUUUACUUGUUAAUAUAUUAUUUAAAUAGUUAUAAUAAUACAUUAUCAUAUUAACUCAAUGAUUCAGUAUAUAACUUUAUUUGUUAUAAUAAUAUUCUAAUAGUUAUGAUCAGCUACAUUUUUAGGUUACAAUAUAUUUAUUUUUAGCUAUUAAAAAGGUAUUUAUUUUCCUAUAAAAAAAUGAAAUUUCAACUCUCCACAUGAAAUUUAAUACUAUAAAAAAAACUAAAUUUAAAUGUUUUAUAUAUGUAUAAUUCAAAACCACAAAUUUAAAAAAUAUUAUUUACUGAUUUAAACUCGAGCCAAAUUAUUAAUGGAAAAAUUUAUUAAAUUAUAAAUUAUAAAUAACAGAAAUUUAGGAGGUAUAAUUAAUUUUUAUUAUAUUAAAAAAUAGCCGAGCAAUUUUAAUUGUUCAGAGUUAGGUGCUAUAAAUAAAUUUAAAAAAUAUGAUAAAUCAUUUACAUAGUUUUGAAAAUAGUAGAAAGAAAAUACUAUGAAUUCACUAGAAAUUUUAAAAAAGUUAGUAGGAUAUUUUUUCCGAUUCAAAAGUUUGAAUAUGAUUUGAUUUGUUUUGAAAUUUUUUUUCAAAGUGUAUUUUUGAUCAAAAAAUUUAUGUGAUUUAAGUUGAUGGUGUUAACAAUUUAUGUAUAGAUAAAAUGAGAACUAAAUUAAAUACGAUAAUAUGUGAUCGGAAAAUUUGUUAGAGGAACUACAUAAUUUUUACAUUGAUAUCCAAAAAACAUUGAAGUUACAUCAUCAAAUCAACUAAUCAAUUCACCAACAUCCUAGUCUUUAGAAAGAGUUUUAAAAGUUGUUUAAAAUCGUUUACAUAGUUUUGAAUAAUAAUUUAAUGUUGAUGACAUUAAAAAAGUUUUUUUCUCUCUAUCUCAGAGAUUUUCAAUACAAAUACCUUGUGCAUGCAUUCCUUGCUUUUGAAUUCUGGAUUAAAAAAAAAUUGUUCUGAUAUAAUUGCUUUCAUGUUAUGUGCAACACAAAUAAAAAGACACAAAAAAAAAACAAAUAACAUUAUAUAUGAUGAAUUUGUAAAGAAGAUAUAAUCAUUUUUUUUUUCAUUAUAUACCUACUUUAAAAAUGUAACCGUUUUUCCUAUGUGUCCAAAUAUAAGUUAUCCUAUCUGUAUCACUUAUCAAAGUUAUAGAAAAUUAAAUUAAUUUUUAUUUUUUAUCUUAUUGUAAUUUAAUUUAUUUAAAAAAGAGAAAAAAUCGAGAAAAAAAACCAAAUUACCGCAUUUGUAUCACUUAUCAGAGGUAUAAUUAAUUUUUAUUAUAUUAAAAAAUAGCCCAGCAAUUUUAAUUUUUUAGAGUUUCACCCACAGUCAUAUAAGUGCUAUAAAUAAAUUUAAAAAAUAUGAUAGAUCAUUUACAUAGUUUUGAAAAUAGUAGAAAGAAAAUACUAUGAAUUUGAUUGGAAUUUUAUUUUUCAGUAGUUUAAAAAGUUAAGUAGAAUUUCUUUUUCCGAUUCAAAAGUUUGAAUAUGAUUUGAUUUGUUUUGAUUUUUUUUUUUCAAAGUGUGUUUUUGAUCAAAUUUUUUUAUGUGAUUUAAGUUUGUUAGAGGAACUACACAAAUUUUACAUUGAUAUCCAAAAACAUUGAAGUUACAUCAUCAAAACAACUAAUCAAUUCACCAACAUCCUAGUCUUUAGAAAGAGUUUCAAAAGUUAUUUAAAAUCGUAUACAUAGUUUUGAAUAAUAAUUUAAUGUUGAUGACAUAAGCAAAUAUUCACAUGUAAAAGUUUUUUUCUCUCUAUCACUCAAAGACUUUCAAUACAAAUACCUUGUGCAUGAAUUCUGGAUUAAAAAAAUUUGUUCUGAUAUAAUUGCUCUCAUGUUACGUGCAACACAAAUAAAAAGACACGAAAAAACAAAUUACAUUAUGAUGAAUUUGUAAAGAAGAUGAAAUCUUUACUAUCUGCUUUUUUUGUGCGGAUAAUUCUUGGGAGUGAUUGUGUGAUGAGGGCAAUAAGGAAUGGGGAAGUUACACAGAUAUAAUUGAGAAUUUUGUGGUUAGUUAAUUUUUGUGGGGUUUUAUCUUCUUCUUUUUUUAAAAUAAAAUAAUAAAUAUUAAUUUGUAGAAAAAAGAGGAAAAAGAUAACACUAAAAUACUUCUCCAUUUCCCACGUUUUGUGCAAUUAUUGCUUAUUAAUGUGCAUCUAUUUUUUUAGAAUGUUGUGGUCAGUUAUAUUUGUGAUUUUAUCCCUUUUUUUAUUCUUUUUAAAAAUAAAAUAACAAAUAUCAAUUAAUCGAAAAGAGAGGGGAAAAUAAUAAUAUUUUAAGUAGUUUCAACAUUCCAUUCUCAAUAUUAUGUUUAAAGUAGUCAUUUUUAAUAUUUUAAUUUUAAUUUUUUUUAUUUUAAACUUAAAUUGCAUAAUAACAGUUAGAGUUUGAUGUAACUUUGAAUUGCAUGAAUUAUUACUGUUUUCCUUAUUUACAGUUUUUCUCAUUUUUUCUUCUUUUAAUUUUGAUUUUUUUUUCUCUUUUUACUUUUGUUUUUUUUAAUAUAAAAAAAUUUCUAAUUUUUAUGGUGCUGACAUAUGUCAGUUUUUCCUCUCCUAUUAUAUAUAUAGUAUAUAGAUAUAGAUUUAUAAAUAAAUAGUGAUUGAAAAAACUUUUUUACCUAUUUUAAGAUAAAAGUUAUCCUGAACUUUUGGCUUUGUCAUAUAUUACUAUUUUUAUCUAAUAAAUAUUUUAAUAAUAAUUUCUUUGUGUAGAUAAGUAGAUUUAUUUGCUUCGAUGUUGUGGAAAGAUUAUUUUUAUUAUUAUUAUUAUUUUAUUAUUAUUAUUAUUAUUAUUAUUAUUAUUAUUAUUAUUAUUAUUAUUAUUAUUAUUAUUAUUAUUAUUAUUAUUAUUAUUAUUAUUAUUAUUAUUAUUAUUAUUAUUAUUAUUAUUAUUAUUAUUAUUAUUAUUAUUAUUAUUAUUAUUAUUAUUAUUAUUAUUAUUAUUAUUAUUAUUAUUAUUAUUAUUAUUAUUAUUAUUAUUAUUAUUAUUAUUAUUAUUAUUAUUAUUAUUAUUAUUAUUAUUAUUAUUAUUAUUAUUAUUAUUAUUAUUAUUAUUAUUAUUAUUAUUAUUAUUAUUAUUAUUAUUAUUAUUAUUAUUAUUAUUAUUAUUAUUAUUAUUAUUAUUAUUAUUAUUAUUAUUAUUAUUAUUAUUAUUAUUAUUAUUAUUAUUAUUAUUAUUAUUAUUAUUAUUAUUAUUAUUAUUAUUAUUAUUAUUAUUAUUAUUAUUAUUAUUAUUAUUAUUAUUAUUAUUAUUAUUAUUAUUAUUAUUAUUAUUAUUAUUAUUAUUAUUAUUAUUAUUAUUAUUAUUAUUAUUAUUAUUAUUAUUAUUAUUAUUAUUAUUAUUAUUAUUAUUAUUAUUAUUAUUAUUAUUAUUAUUAUUAUUAUUAUUAUUAUUAUUAUUAUUAUUAUUAUUAUUAUUAUUAUUAUUAUUAUUAUUAUUAUUAUUAUUAUUAUUAUUAUUAUUAUUAUUAUUAUUAUUAUUAUUAUUAUUAUUAUUAUUAUUAUUAUUAUUAUUAUUAUUAUUAUUAUUAUUAUUAUUAUUAUUAUUAUUAUUAUUAUUAUUAUUAUUAUUAUUAUUAUUAUUAUUAUUAUUAUUAUUAUUAUUAUUAUUAUUAUUAUUAUUAUUAUUAUUAUUAUUAUUAUUAUUAUUAUUAUUAUUAUUAUUAUUAUUAUUAUUUUAAAUAGAAAUAUUUUGUUAAUCAAUUCUCAAUUAUAUAUAUUUAAUUAUUUUUUAAAAAACUCAAAAAUUCAAACUAAUAAUGAGUCGUCCUUAUCAAACUCUUUUAGUUUUCUUUUUUAAAUAUUUUAAAUUCAAAUUAAAAAAAAUAUUAACCAAUUUUAAUUUUAGGAAAAAAAAAAAAGAAACACAGAAUGAUUUAUUGGUUACUUCUUUUUAUUUAUUUUUGGUUAAUUUUAAAUAAAUUUUUUAAAUAAAUUGAAAUUAUUUUUGAAUUUUAAAAUUGUUGAAUUUUUGUGGUGCUGACACAUGUCACUUUUUUCUUCUCCUAUUUUAUAUAGAUAGAUAAAAAAUAAAUAUAUAGAUAGAUUUAAAAAAUAAUACUUAACAUUUACAAAAAUAUUAAAAUUGUCCCACUGUUUAAAAAAACAGGCAGUUAGCCUUUUAUUAGGAACAACUACAUCCAAAUUAUUAUUAUUUUUAAAAAAAAAACAGAUCAAAUCAGUUUUUAACGUAAACAAUUUUUAAAAAUUGUUUUUCAUUUAUGUUUUUUAAAUGUUUUGUUUUUUAGAUAUAUAUAGAUAAAUUUUAAAAAUGAAUGAAAAAAAAACUACCCCAUUUCUACAACUAACUAUAAAUUGACCGUUUUAACUAUUUUUUUUAAAAAGAAGUUUUUAAAUUUUUUUAAUGGUAAUUAUUGUUUUUUUACAAUCAGUUUUUUAAUUGAAUUUUCAAAUAAUAAUUAUAGUUUUUUUGUGUUGCUGACACACACGUGACACUUUUUCUUCUCCUUUUAUAUAUAGAUAGAUUUUAUAUAAAAAAAUUUAACUAUUUGGGUUGUGUGAUAGUUUAUACACAUGAGUCUAAGAUCCCCUAUCAACACCCUAUCCCUUGACUCAUUUAAUGGACCUCCUGCAAAACUCUUAUUUAUUCCUCUUGCUUAACUCAUACAUGAUUCAACACUCCUUUCAAGUAAUUCAGAUCACCCAAAGAUCCCUGAAACCUCAUCUACAAUAUUGGACUAUGUAAUAGCCAUCUCAACAUUUAAAUACACCAAUUCGGUCACUCAUGGAUUAACAUGUGAUAAAUGCAAUAUUAUAGAUAAAUUUGUUCCACUCACAGAACCCACACAUAAAGAACAAUCAAACAUGUAUUAUGCAUGGUAUUCAGGGGCGGAUCCACAUAUAGCACCCAUUUACCUCGACGAAAACUUUGAAUAUGUAUAUAAAAAAUAUUGAAAAUUUGCGAUAUAAUGUUUUUGUGAGCACCCAUUAACCAAAAUGGAUGAUCGGUGCUUUGGUUCUCAAGCUAAAGUUAAAGUAUGCGUGAAUACCCUUGAGUGUGAGGGUUUGAAUCCUUGUACAAUCAAAAUCUUUUUUUAAUAUUCAUCAACAAGAAUAUUAAUAUGUUUGAAGAAAUGUCUCUUGUGUGUGGAAAUGGUCGAGCUAUAAGUGAUUGUGCUAUGUCGUUUGAAGAUAUAGGUUUGCCUUGUAGUUUUGAGGCUGAAUUCAUCGGUGACCAUUUAAGAUUGACAUCAAUUUUCACUUAGACACUUCAACUAGACUUGUUCAUUUUAGACACUUUAUGCCGAUGGGUUCAACCUAGUGUGGAGGAAGGUAUUGAUGAUGAUAUUGAAGGACCAUCCAAAGAGAAAGAUGUGCAAGAUAUGAGUGAAACUUCUCAAGUCAAGUCAUGCUGUAAAAGAAAUCAUCCUUCUAAUGUGCAAGAUGUGGUCGGUGAUAUAUCAACAAAAUUUGGACAAGUGGUAGCGACGAUAAGUAAGAUAGCUAAUAGUUAAUUAGAUGUGACAAGGUUAUAUGAAGAAAUUAUGAUAAUUGAAGGCAGGGUCGGCUUAAUGCUUUUAAAAUGAGAUAUUUGUCUUCGGGCUCAAAUUUGAAAGAUCUAAUAUUUUUAGUAAUAAUAAAAUUAUUAUAAGCUUUUAUUAACAAAAAAAAUUCUGCUAUUUUUAAUUUAUUUAUUUAUUUCUAGUUUGUUUCGAAACAUUAGAAAAUAUUUCUUUCUUUUUUUAUCAAAUUUUAAAUUUAAUUUCCAUAUGAUAUGUUUGAGACCAUAAGAUUAAAAAAUAUUUUAGUAUAUAUAUAUAUAUCUUUGAUUUAAGAUGAUAGAAAAAAUAAAGUUUUUUUUUAUUAAAACGAAAGAAAUAACUUUGCAUCUUAUAAAUAAAAAAUAGAAAAAUAAUUAAAAGUUAGGCCUCUAAUUUAUUUUUGGCUUUAGGCCACUAUUUAGUUUGAAUCACCACUUAUGGAAGGUAAUGAGGAAGAGUUCUUAGCUGAUGUUUUUGAUUAUUUGGUGCAAAAUGAUUCUUAAGUUAAGGUAUUCAUGACGAAUUUUUUUUAAUUCCGGACGUGUAAUUGGAACGAUUCAAUCCACAACAUAAAUAGAAUAUACAUAUAUCGAAACUCGAAAGAACAUAGUUGGAUAGGGUAUCUUCUCUAAUUAAUAUUUUACUGCAAGAGGAAUUGAUAUUAUUCUUUGCUUGAAUCUAAAUUUUGUAUGCCUAAGCGAGUGUUGUUUUACCAAUUGACAAUUUGUUAGUUUCUUUGUUUAAUGACUUUAUUAGUUCAAGUAAUUAUACCUUAUUGAACUAUCAAAGAAAUAUUCAAAAUUAUAUUAUUAGGUUUGGGGUGGGUGAGGCAAAGCAUAGGAAAACAUCAUAAUUUCUUGGGGCAGAGCAUAAGAAACUAUUUUCCUAAAAAGUUUUUUACACUUUACUAUAUUCUAAUACAUUGUGUCAAUUUUUUCCAAACAAACAUAGUAUAUUAUAAGAAGAAAUUACCUAAAUAUACAUCUUAUUUUAUCAUAAUCUCUAAAAUUACCACCAUUUAAAAAAAAUUCAAAAAUCUCUUCUCGGAUACAUCACUCUCUCCUUGCUAAUACAUCUUUAUCCACUCUCCGAUACAUCCCUCACCUAUGUAUUCGAAUAUACGUUGAUGUAUCCGGAUGUGCUAUCCCCUCUCUAAUACAUCCCUCCCCUCUCGGAUACAUCCCUCACAAAUAUAUCCGGAAGUUUAGUGAUGUUCUGAAGUCCCUAAAUUUUAAGGAAUUUUUGUAAUUUGAAAAAGUGUAUUGAGAAAUAAUGUAAUUAGCUCUUAAUACUAUGAGAUUUAUGUAAAUUAUACUUAUUUUAAAGCACUUAUAAUACAUCUAUAUGACAUGCAUAAUUCAAUUUUAAUACAUAGUGUAGUUUAUCAUAGUAUUGCUAUAAAUGUAAUAGAUAAAAAAAAAUAUCGCUAAAUUAAUAAUUAUUUAUUAAAAAGUACUUAUCCAAGUAAUUUUUCCACUUUUUUUUUUUGAAGUAUAGUCUUGUCAAGGCAAAACAUCAUACGUUUUUACCUAAAAUAUGUAUGAGUUUAUCAAAGUUGACUUUAGACAUUUUUUGUUGAAUAAAUUAGCUAACUAGUCAAAAUUUCUAACAUAAUUAUUAAAAAGAUCUACACUUUAAAAUAAUUAUUUAAAAUAUCAAUAUGUUACAAAUAAAGUGUAUCCUAAUAUAAUUCAUUUACCUUCCUUUUAUUUCUCAAAAUGGGCCCACUUUUUGACUUCAUUACGUGUGAAAGAAAAAACAAAAGACCCUAUUACCCACUUUUCUCUCUCUAAAUUUUUUACCUAAAUUCUAUCCUUUCUCUUUCUCUCACUCAUGAUCUUCCAUUAUUCUAUAUCCUCAAGUAACUUAAAUCUUGCCUUUUUAAAAUCAAAUUCCUCCAUUUUUCUAAGAAAUCUCAUAAAUCAUUCAAAAGAUUUUUAACCUUUGUCGAAGUGAAUUAGACUGAUUUGCUUUUGUUUUCAUUAGGGAAGAAAAUUUUGAAAUAAUCUAUUGGGAUUUCGAAGUGAAUUCGAUUGAUUUCGUUGAACUUCGAGAUUGUCGGUGAGAUAAAAAAACGAUCAGGUAUUCAUUAGUUGUUAAUUCUAUAAUUUGUUUGGAAGUGAUUUGAAAAUGGCUAUUGAAAAAGUGAUACGACAAUGGAUUUGGAUCGUAUUUUGUAUGUUGGACCUUCACCUGAAGAUUUUCAUAAGUUAAUAUCCGAAUAUUGGAUUUUAAAGGUUAGAUGGUCACUGAGGUAUUCAAUUUGGGAGUUUCGAGUCAAUAUUUCAUCCAAGACACUUUGUUGGACGAUAUCACAAUUCUAGUUAACUCUUCAAUGAAUUGAAGUAUUUUUGCAUCUUUCUCACAUCCAAGACCCAAACGAGAUGAAAGUACAUAAUAACCAGCUAUAUUUCAAAGUAAAAAAAAAACAUUUUUUAAUCUGUAAUAUGUUUGACAUACAAACAGUGAAUGAUUGAAUUGUUUUGAUUUGUUGUAUGUUGAAUGUUUGGAAUAAAAAAUAUUUGGAAUCUUAUUUAGUAGAUGUUCUAUAAAUUAGACAUUGAAUAUGUAAUAUCUCGCAACUAGAAAGAACUAGAAGGAAGUUUAAAAUCUGGAAAUAGUCAUUUUUGGGAAGAAUUUAAAAAUCUGGAAAUUGGUAAAGGUGUUAAAGUGAGUUUUUGGUCAACUUCAAAUGGCCAUAACUCAUAUCUCAGAAUGAUUUAGGUGUAAUUCCAGAUAUGGUUGGAAAGCUCGUGGAAUAAUCUUUUCAACGCCGCUGAGUUUGCGCGAUUCCAAGUUUGUAUGAGUAAGUUAUGCCCUUUGGAAAUUGGGUUGUUGGAUUAAGAAAAUGUUCAAUCCGAAUUUUUAAGGGGUAUUUUAGUUGUUUCACUGCCCUAUUGAUUAAACCCAUUUUUAGUAAGAUAAUUGGGGUCAAGACUGAGUUAGUGCAGUUUACGCUUUUGAAAAUUAGAGUUAGAGUUUUUGGAGAAAGAACGCAAGAGAAAGGAGAAGAAGAAAAGCAAGAUUCGCCAAGAAUGAUCGAUUUUGGUCGUGGAUUCGCCAAAGAAUUGAUCCUACAAGGUAUGUGAGUCUCUCAUAGCAUUGGAUUCAUUCACCCACGCGCCAAACAUGUUUAGUUCAGCGAAACUCGUCCUAAAAGAGUUUGAAAGUUGAUGUUCUUGACAUGUAUUCUUGAAUUUGAAUGUUGUUCUUGAAUUGGGAUGAAUUGAGGAGUUUCUGAGAUCUUUACGUUGAGUUUUAGGGUUGUAUUGAGUUAGGUUCUUGAAUACAUAUGCUGGGUAUCGGGAUCUAAAAUGAAUUUGAGUUCUAUAAUCGAGUUUAGGCGAUUUGGGGCUGGAAAAUGAAGAAGGAAUAGUCGAGCAGGUUCUGGCACGCAGGUCCGCGUCGCAGACUUGCUCCCCAGUGAAGAAAAAUUGUCUUCGCGUCGCAGUUAGGACGCAGACUCCUCUGUAUCAAAAAUUAAUUUCGCGAGCAUUUAUUCAGAAACGUCUCCGUGUCGCGGACUUGUUCCAAGACGGAGAUUUCGUAACUUUUCUCAGGUUUAGCUAUUCAAAGUUAUUCUUAAACAUCAUGAGAUCUUCCCGAUCACAAAUCUUAAUCCUUGAAUCUUAUUCAAGGAUCAGUUAAGAGUCAAGUUAGGAUCAGUUAAGAGUCAAGUCAAGAUCAGUUAAGAGUCAAGUCAAGAUCAGUUAAAGAUCAAAGUCAAGAGAAGUCAAGAGUCAAGUUAAGAUAAGUUCUUAAAGUUUUCAAAAAGUCUUUCACAAAUGUUUUAACUUUGUUUUAAGACUUAAGUUUUGAGUUCAGUAAAGAGUAAAGUUGAAGUUCUUUUCUUCAAAGAAACAUAUGGGGACUAAGUAUUUCCCAAAGAGAUUUAAAAUGUUUUCACAUUUAAAUAAGAACGGAAACUUAGAUUUCCAAAGGACCUUCGGGCUAGUUUUCAUAAAAGAUUAAUAGCUUUCUAAAUGAAGUAAGCAUGGAAACUGAGAUUUCCAAGAUAGCCUUUAAGCUAAGUUUUUGAGCACUAAUCUCAAAUCACAGAAGAAGUAUGUUUUUAAACAUAAGAGCUAAUAUUAUAUUUUUGGGAGUAGUAUUGAGCACCGAUAUGGGGAUGCGAGUUCACAUUAACUCAAGUCUCCAUAAACCACGUAGCCAUCAUGGGUAUAAAAGGGUCAUACUUUAGAUGAAUCCUUUUCGCAUAAACUAAUCGAUCCACUAAGUUAAGUUAGGUCCUAUACUGAUGGCAAGGUAUAGGAUGGCAAUUGGCAGCGCGAGGUAAAGUGUUGUAUCAUCACUAUAGCUAUUAAGUGAUGAUUGUCGGUUAGAGAAACUCCCACAACAGUAGUAGCAUGGUUCCUCAANNNNNNNNNNNNNNNNNNNNNNNNNNNNNNNNNNNNNNNNNNNNNNNNNNNNNNNNNNNNNNNNNNNNNNNNNNNNNNNNNNNNNNNNNNNNNNNNNNNNNNNNNNNNNNNNNNNNNNNNNNNNNNNNNNNNNNNNNNNNNNNNNNNNNNNNNNNNNNNNNNNNNNNNNNNNNNNNNNNNNNNNNNGUAACUAGGAUCGGCAUUCCGGCGCAUCGUUGAUCCAGUGAGCAGUUCAAAGUCUGUUGGUGAGCCUCCUUGCAUUCCGGAGGAUCCAUUUCAUUGUUUUCUUGUUUAGUUCAUUCGGAUGUUGUGGGGUUUGUCCCAACAUCCAUCUCAGUUGUUAUUAGAGGCUUCAUAGACAGUCAGAUGUUAGUUCUUUAGUCUUUUCAUUGUCAUUAUUCCAUGUUGAGACUUGAGUUUGCCUUAAUGGCCAGUUGAAUGUUUCUUUAUAACAUUCCAGUUUAUUAUAUGAACUUAUCUUUGUUGAGUUUAAGUCUUCCGCUAAGUUAAGUAAGUCAGGUCAAGGGUUCGCUUGAGGCUAGCAAUGAUCUUCGAGUGCCAGUCCCGCCCAGGGUGUAGGCUCGGGGCGUGACAAAAUAUAAUAUAUUUUUGGAAUACAUAACAAAUAAGAAAUACAUUUUUUGUCAUGAAAUACAAAUUUUGAUUGUUAUUAUGAUUGUAAGUUUGUAUGUUUUGAUGACUGAAAUACAUAUUUUGUUGGAAUUUUAAGAAAGAAUAUACGUUUUUGAAAAAUAUACAAACUAAGGUUGUAUCCUUUCUGAAUGAACACGAGUUUACAUAAGUAUAUGAAUCCAAAUAAUUACAAAUCCAUUUGGUAUACCUAUUGGAAUGAAUACAAACUAAUAAAGAAAUACAAAUACCAGUAUACAAACCCAAACAUGAAAACCAUAAUGAUGCAAAUACACAUGUCAUACAUAUUGGAAUGAAUACAAUCAAUUACUUUUGAAAUUGUAAUUGAUGAGAAUUUUAAUUGAUAUGUUCCUUUUAAAAAAAUAUUCUCUCUCAUGAUUUUUCCUUUCUGUUAUAAAAUAAUUGUAUUCUUUCAAAUAAAACAAAUAAAAAUAUAUAUAAAUCAAAAGAAUAACAAACUAAAAUAUUGACAUUUUUAAUUAAUAUUAAAAAAUUUAAUAAAAGAUCCUAUUAAAUGCUAAAAUAUUAACAUUUUGAAAAUUUCCUCUUUGUUGAAGCUGUGGCCUUGAUAGACCAAUUUCAAACAUUUUUUUUAUGAAAGUUAAUGACCUUGGUAAUACCAAACUAUAUACAUAAAGAUUUAAAUGAUAGUACUUCAGACAUAUAACAGCUUGUCAAAGCCAGUUUUAGAAUUUUUUACUAAAGUUAUGACACUGGCAAGGCCAAGUUUCAGACCUAUGAUGUUGCAGGUCAUACAUUUAGCAAUGAAGUUCAAUGUAUACUUGGCAGACAUUUUGGUUGCCUAAAACUAGCAAUUGUUCUCUAAAUUUCAACAAUUCAAUACAUGAUUCAACAAUCAAAUUUAAAACAUAAGUUCAUAUAUCAUAAAAACAAACUUCAAUCCACAGUUUGUCAAAACAACAAAAAAUCUAACAAAUUCAUUUCAAAACAGUGGCAAUUUUCUACUACUAUUUUUGAACUUCUACAACCACAUCACUCAAAUUUACUUUUCAUAUUUAAAACUCGAGACCAUUUCUCAAAAUAUCAAUUGCUAUAGGUCCAAAUAAGAAAUACUUCUUCUGUCCCAAUUUAUAUAGCACACUUUCUUUUUUAAUCUGUCUCGAAAAAGAAUGUCACCUUUUAGAAAAAAAAUUAACUUCAAAGUUCUUCUUUUACCUAAAAUGAAUGAGGUAUAGACACCAAUACAAUGAGAUAGAAAGAGACAACUAAGGAGCAAUAAAGGCAUAGCAGAAACAAUUUUGUCUGAAGUUGCCUAUGCUUUUGAGUAUCAGUCUGACUUCUUGAGAAAAAAAAAAUAGAUACAUGUUAAACAGGAGCGACGAAAUAGGGUACCCAGUGAAACUGUCCGUUACAUUUCCGGUCUGGGGUAACCAUGGGCCUGAUAGUCCAUGACUAUAGGAAUACGGUACCUGGCACAAACAAGAAUUUUCCAAAUUUUGAGCAAGACAUUUUGACUAGGCGCAAAUAGUAGAAACUAGAAACUAGAAAAUCCAUAUAACAUUCUUUUUUUGGAAAAUCAAUAUCAAAAAAGCACUAGAGGAAUAGAACAGAUCCAAAUGUUUGGGCACUUAGGUGCUGUACAAACUAUAAUAGAUGGUUUAUUCCAAGUGACAUUCAAAACCCAACGGUAUGUACAGAGCGGAAGAGAAUUAAAAUCAAAGUAUAGCAAACAAAAAUAUUUGCAGAAACUAGUAGGAGUCCUUUAGGUGUCUAGUCCUCAAACAUUGCUGUUGACAGUUUAACACAGAGAUCAGCAAGAAGAGAAACCCUGGCUGGCAUCUUGUACCAGCAAAAGACUAACCACUGUUCU
rnacentral:lncRNA from 1 species